GACAAGGAUGUUGCGGGUGCCCAGUUAAGUCCAUGUUCAGCUGAUGGAGUAGAUUCUCCUGCGCGGGUCUCUCCUUCAAAUGCCUCUCUUUGUCAUGUUUCUACCUCAGAUAGUGCUAGUAUUGUUCAUAGCAAUGGGUAUUGUAGUCCAAAUGUCCAUUUGUGUCCCAACAAAGUUUUAUCUGUUUCAAAUGCUGACGAUGAAGCCAAAGCUGAUUCUGUGACCUUUGAAAGACCAAAAUCUGUCAGUAAGUGCAGUACUUACACUGAUGCACAAGCUGUUCUGUCGUCUUUUGAAAAUAUGCUUGUGAUCUUAACGAGGACAAAGGAGAGCAUUGCUCGUGCAACACGAAUAGCAAUUGAUUGUGCCAAAUUUGGUGUCUCUGCUAAUAAGGUAGAUAAAGGCAUUUUGUAGACUGUCAAGUUAUCAGAGGCAUUUUUACUUAUUAGCACUUAAAUUGAAAUUCUUCAUAGAUAAACUUUGGCAUUAACGUUAUUUAUUCAUUCGUUCCCCUUUUAGGAUUUCUUUCUAGACUAAUACUGUAUAUUCUGAAUACUAAGAGAGCGCGCAUGCUAAAAGCAUGUACAGAUGAUAUACCGUUAUCACAAAAGUUCUUAUUUUUUAUUUUGAAAUUCAUUGGUUUCUUCUUUUUAAUCUAGGUUGUGGAAAUUAUUGCUCGAAAUUUGGAGAGGGAGUCGAGCUUACACAAAAGGGUGGAUUUGUUCUUUCUUGUGGACUCCAUUACUCAGUGCUCCCGGGGUUUGAAAGGUAUUAUUUGUAUUUAUUUACUUUGUGAAUUUUUUAUAAUUUAGCAGCAUGUUAGGUGUUUGGUCUGUAAGUUAUGGCUAUGUGCUUACCGAAUUUGGUAUCCAGGUGAUGUUGGUGAUAUCUACCCUUCAGCUAUUCAAGCAGCACUUCCUCGUCUACUCAACGCUGCAGCUCCCCCUGGACCUAAUGCACAGGAAAAUCAUCGGCAAUGCUUGAAGGUAGGUGGCUUUGAUGUUUUUAUUUUUCUUUAUAUUUUGUGUGGAUUGUUGGUUUCUCACCUUUUCUCUUUGAUGUAGGUUUUGAGACUUUGGUUGGAAAGAAGAAUCCUUCCAGAAUCUGUUGUUCGGCACCAUAUACGAGAACUUGAUUCACUUAGUGUUUCAUCUUCUGGUGGUGUCUUUUCUCGUCGUUCAGCUAGAACAGAGAGAGCUUUGGAUGAUCCUAUUAGAGACAUGGAGGGUAUGCUUGUUGAUGAGUAUGGCAGGUCUAUAUUUCAGUAUCUCUUCAACUUAUGGUUACUUUAAACAUUCUAGAUCUGUGUUCCUGAGAUUUGUUUUUUCUUGCCUCAGCAAUUCAAGUUUUCAGCUCCCCGGAUUUUGCAUGCCUCGAAUGCUCAAUGAGGAGGAUGAGGGUAGUGAUUCUGAUGGAGAAAGUUUUGAGGCUGUCACUCCAGAGCACUAUUCUGGAGGUCCUGAAGAACAAGAGGCAAACCCUGCAAGUGAAAAGCGCAGACAUAUUUUGGAAGAUGUUGAUGGUGAACUUGAAAUGGAGGAUGUUGCUCCUGAGAUUGAAAUGAGUUCAACUAGUUGUGCUGCUGGAAUCAAUACUGCACAAACUUUGCAAGAGCAUUGUGAUCAGCAUUUUCCAUUGCCAUUUGCCCCACCUUUACCUCACGAUGUGCGUCCGUCAUCACCACCACUGCCAUCAUCUCCACCUCCGCCACCCCCUCCACCGCCUCCUCUUCCUCCACCCAUCCCUCGUCCUAUUUCUGGUCCCUACACAAACAAUGUUGAUUCAACAAUUCAUACAAGUAUACAGGUAGGUCCUUGUUUGUGUUCCUUUCAGUGGUUUCUUAUUAUUAUGACAAUGAUGAUAACGUAAUAGUGAAAUACGUUAUUUAUGUAGUCUUGUUCUUAUUAUAUUUGCAGGAAAGGCAGGAUGAUUUGAGAUCUAUGGUUCCACCGUCAGUUGCACCCAGAAUCGAUUCAACAGUGUGCACCAAUACAGUCCAAUAUAAUGGUCCUGAUCCUAGAAAUCCUCCUGUUAUGCAGGUUUCAGAUUGUAAUACUGCUUUUAACAGUUGCCCAGUGCCUCCAGUGAAUAACAUCCAACAACCUGAUGGCCAGAACUUUCACAAUGCCUACCCUCCACAGCCUCUCCUUCCUGCACCUACAAAUCAGUUUGCAUAUGUUAAUUCAGCCCCGCAUGUGAAUUUGAUGAGGGAUGCACCUCCUCCAUACACUGACAGAUACUCUUCACUAAACUUCGAUGGUGCAAAUUAUUAUCACAGCCAUGAGAGAAUGAACCUGGCCCCAAAUGAACCUAGAGAAAGCUGGAGGUAUCCUCCACCACCUUUCUCUGGUAAGUUUCUUGAAUCAUGUUUUGUAUCAGUCUACUGUUAUCAUGCCUUGAUUUGUCUGAUGAGACCUGAUUCUUUAUAUUUUCUCCUAACAGGACCCUGGUAUGCUGAUAACGCCAAUUCAUCGUAUGGCCAUGGCCAUGGUUCUUAUGGUGGGCCCCAAUGUGAGCCAACAAGGUUUCCAAACGAGGGAUGGGGCUUCCGCCCUCCUCCAAUGGAUCACAGAAACUUCUUUCCUGGCAGACCACCUGCAGAAGGUAUGGUUCCCAUUGGAUCAAGAGGUUCACAUUUCUCCUGUGAGAUUGUGGUUUAAGUUGGACAAAGCUCUCUCUCUCUAUCUAUGUAUGUGUUUGUGUGUGUGUGUGGAUCAUUUUGCAUUUGCAUACUUUCUAGAUACCCUGCAUUCAGGUAGUUUUACGUCGGGCCUGAUACUUGAAGUCUCUUUUAUUUGUUUCAGCUUCUUGCAUUUGGCAGCCAAGAUGACCUAAUAUUAAUCAGUUGCUUUAAUUGGUAUGUCAUAUUUUAGUGAUAGUUUUAUCAUAUCUUUCAGAAGUUCUCUUUCUCACUAGUUUUGUUGUCAUGAAUAGGUAUUAAAACCCCCUUUUUCUUUUGGCAUGGGUUCUGCGGCUUGUUGAAAACAGCUGGGAGUUUUUGCAUGCAAUGAACCGAUAAUAGGAUGAGUUGAGCCGAAGAUGAGCGUGUCAGCAUUGCUGAUUCUGGUUUUGUAAAUAUGUAAAAUCUACCACCGGGCAGGACAGUAUGAUUGGGAGAGUUAGGCUAUCAUCGUGUAUCAAAAUUUUAUUUUGUUUUUGUUUCUUUUUGCAUAAUUUAUUCUCGAUCAGCGCCCCAAUUAAAGACCUUUAGCAAUUUUUUAAUCGGGCCAUUCCCUCUUGACCUUUUUUUCCCUAUACUUGGUUGUAACAGUACUAUUUUAUUAAUACAGUGGCAGGCAGGCAGAGUUUCAAUGGAUGAAUCUAGUUGUAUUCUUACUGUUGAUGAACUGUUCUUAUAUAUACAGGAAAAGAGUCGUAAAGUCUAACCUAAAAAUUAGGAUUUUUAUAUUUCAACUAUAAAUAAAUUCGGAGCUUUAUAAUUUGCUUGAGUUAUGCUUGUAGCAUUGAUUUUAUGAUUAAGUUUGUGGUGGUGCGCUUGAUAGGGGAUAAUAUUAUUCUUUUCGAGAGUCAGUUAUGAUUUAUUGGUUAUAGAGCAGUUGCUAAUCCGGUAUUGCGCGUGGGCAAUGUGGUCGUUUCUGAAGAAAGUAUUUAUACUUGUAUGUACUUCUAGGGCUUGAUUUUAACUAUACUAAUGAAAAGAUGAUAAGACAUACAGUUAUUAGUGUCCUAGCAUUGACGGAUGUUGAAAUUAUUGAGUGAUAUUAUCUGUCGUAAUUUAAUGUCAAAUUAAGUUCUCUGGCACACUUGAUUAGCUUGUUGUCAAGAAAUUUAAGAGUAUUUUCAAUUUUUUUAUUUUUAGUUUUUAAUGUUAAUAAUAGUUUUUCUUAUAUUUCAAUCCUUUUGCAAAACUAUUUCAUUGGGAGUUUAAUGGUUUAUUUGAAUAGUGUAGGAAAAUGAUUAUGGUCACAUCUUAAAGAAAAUAUCAAUUGUUUUGGUUGUCGUGAUGUCGAUCCAUCAUCCUAGGGGAGCAAAUUUUCAAUUAGAAAUCAACCUAGAGCAAUUUGUCAAGAAUGUCGCAACAUCAGGUGUGUUGUGUCGCGACACCGAGCCCCGAUGUCUCGACUCUAAGCCUUCGAGGUCGCUACUCCAUUGUUGAUGGUUGAAAUGAAGGAGUCGGGGUAAUUAUUGAGGGUAUCGUAACACCAGCUAGUCUGGGCCACGACAUUGAGAACCCUCAAGCCAAGAUUGUGCCUUAGAAGAUGUUGCAACAUCAAAAACUGGGUGUCGCGACAUUGAAGCCUAACGAGGUGAAAAAUAUGCAAUUUUGUGUCCAACAUCGACUUAAUGCACUCCAUGGGUAUUUUUGUCAAAUACUAAAGGCACACUUGAUGCCAAACAUAAAAGAGUCUCUAUCUUGUCUUAGCUCUCUUUUAUUCUUUUCACCAUUUUUUUAGGAUUUUAAUUUUUCCUUUCUUAGCUUAGUUAGUAGUUUGCAGUUUUUCAUUUUCACUGUAGCUUACACUUUCUUUCAAUUAGAUACAAAACUUUCUCUUGUUAUUUUGAUUUCUUUUUAAAGUACCCAAUAUAUUUUAUUUUUGAUAACUUUUAAAAGUGUAAAAAUCUAAAUUGUAAUUGUGCGUUCGUCACCAUUAGUGUUUCUAUCAUCUCCAAAAAAGACUCCAUCAUGAGUCACUAAGAUUUUAUCAACCUUGUCUUUUUGUAUUUUUUUUUAUGAUUCAUUUCAGCAUGAAUUUGGUUGAUAUUUGUACACUGAUGAUGGGUAGUUGGUUGAUUUAAAUGUUGCAUGGCUAGUUUUUGGGUCAGAGGCUAAAUCAUAAAAAUUGGACUAAAUCGAAUAAAUUUCAAAACCUAGAAUUGACCCCCUAGGUGAACAUUUAGAUAGGUGAGAUGAGAGGAGAACUUAUUGCAAAGCAAUUUGAUUAUCUCCAUUUAGUUUAGUGAGGUCGAGAGAUAAGUUAGACUAAAUCGUCUAAUAGGGUAAAAUGGUGAUCGAAAGGUAAAAUUGAACCAAUUAGGAGUUUGCGCAAUUUGAAUCUCCAAUCCAAGAAUUGACUAGCAACAUGGAUAAAAAUCAGCCACUUUAGCCCAUUGAUUUGAUAUUUGUACAUUUUUUGCUGUUAUGCAAUUUAGUCCUCCCAAGUGUAGUUUAUUAACCUUUGAUGGUAAUUUGUUGUAAUAUAAUACUCAAUGAUUAGAUAUGUAACACCCCAAACCCGGCCUAAACAUUAGGACCAAAUCUGGUGAUGUCACAUUGUAACACCCCUUACCCGUAUUCUACGCUGGAAUAGGGUACGAGGCAUUACCAGAAUAAAUACACUUAUAAACAUAUUAAACCGAGUUAUAAAAUUUCAUCCAAAUUAAAAACUUUCAAAUUAUUAUCUUCGAGUCGCUAAUUAGGGUUUACGAGACCCAAUACAUACCUAUUCAUAUGCUCAAUAUAUCCGUUAAAUCAAUCCAAUAUUGAAGAAUCCACUUUAAGUCAAAAUCAAUAUUAAUCACAAUCAUAAAUCUUUUCAUGUUAUUUUCAUAUAUCACUAACUGAACUUUGAAUGUCAAUUUACGAAUAUAUAAUUCACUAACACAUUCUGGUAUACACAAUGUUUAAUUGAUGAAAUCAUUUAAUUGAGCUAAAUUUUAUAUUCACUCCGAAUUUUCUUCUAUAUCCAUAAAUGCUUUCACUUACCAUUUACCUAACCAAUUUCUCGAACCAAGCUAUCACACAACAAUAAUACAUCACCUGUGCUUCAUGAAUUCAAUGUUCGAAUCUUAUCACCAUCAAAUCCAUGUCAUUCGAAUACUUAAAGUUUAUUCAAGCAUAUAUUAUUACGUUUCAUAUACCAAGCAUAUGUCAAAAUUACGAAUACGUAAUCAAUUCAUUUGUCAUUUAUUUGACUAGAAAAUUAAUCUCAAAAUUCAUAACAUUCCAUUACUUAAGAUAUGCCAUAAAACACUCAUUUAACAUAAACUAGCACCAUGGCCGAAUUUUCAGUAUGCUAUUUAUUCCCCUUUUUUCGAAUCACAUAGCAAAAUAUUACAAAUAUGUAUAUAUUUGAAUACUAUAAUUAUGCAUCAACUUACCAACAUGAGUUAAUUCAUGAGCCACUCAUGACAUCAUUUCAUGCCAAAUAUACCACACGCAUAUGCUAUGAAACUUUAUUUUCUCUCAUGAGCUUACCAUGACCAGUAAUGCACCAAUAUAAGCAUCACUCCUAUUUCAACAUUUAUCGAUUAUAAUUAGACAUUUAACCAAUUAUACACAAUUCAUUCAUAUACUUUAUUUUCCUCCUCCUCCUCUCCAUCCCACAUCCUUUAUGUAUAUAAUAUGCUUAAAUAGCAUUAUACAUAAUUUCACUAUUCACUUAUAUUUAAAUUCAAAGUUGUCUAGUCAAGUUAUAGUCACUAAAUUAUUUUUAUUUAGAGCUAUAGAGCUCCAAAUUAAGUUCCAUUAAUUUUCCCCGAAACUAGACUCACAUUUAUUCUUACCAUAAAAUUUUCAGAAUUUUUGGCUUAGCCAAUUAGUACAUUUUAUUCUUUAAACUCACCCCUGUUUCACUGCUCAACAUCUCUGACCUCUCUUCACUAAAAAUAAAUUAUCUCAUUGUACAGAAUUCAGAUGAUAUUUCUGUUUAUUUCCUUUGAAAAUAGACUCAUUAAGGAUUCUAAUCAUAUAAAUUAUAACUCAUAAUUAUUUUUUUACAAUUUUUAAUUAUUUUCCAAAGUCAGAAUAGGCAUUUCCAAAAUCAAUCUAACCCUGCCUCACUAAAAUUCAAAUAUCUCAAAGUUUAUAACUAUUUUUAUUUCUCUGUUUCUUUUAUGUAAAAAUAUACUCAUUAAGCUUUCAUGUAAUAUAUUAUUCACUCUCUAAUUCAAUUUCCACCAUUUUUGGUGAUUUUUCAAAGUCACACUAUUGUUACUGUCCAAAACUGUUUUGUUGCUAAUUUUACUUUUUCAUAAUUUCACUUUUUCACUUUCAAUCAUUAUUCAAUUAAAUUCCACACAUAUAUUCAUCAUUCAAUCACACUUAAUCGUUACAUGAUCUCAUGUAUUUUCACUUAGUCAAUUUCCCGAUGAACACUUCGGAAUAAUAACAGAUACACAGUGGAUUCAGCACACAGCAACCACUCUUUGUAAUCAAUGAUAUCCAGUGGGAUCAGCACAUAGCAACCACCUUAUAAUUAAUGAUACCGGUUCACAUAGUAGCCUGCACAUAGUAUUACACACGUGAUCGAAGCUAUUCGGUACGCAUAGUAGCCUGCACAUAGUACUACACACAUGACCAUCACUUUCACUUUUACAUAGUGGCCUACACAUAGUCCAUACCACACAUGUGAUCAUUUCUAUCACUUCAUCCGUAUCCCUUUUUAUUCCGAAUGUUCAAUCGGGAAAUUUCUCACUUUUUUUCAUUUUUUCCUUUUUCACUAAUCAAAGUCAAUUCCUUGUCUUUCUUGACUUAUAAUAACACAUUUAACUUAUUUAACACUCACAUUAUUCAGUCCAGUCCAAAAACCACAUUUUGGAAAAAUUACAUUUUUGCCCCUAAAGUUUCACAAAAUUACGAUUUUCCCCUAGACUCGGAAAUUAAGCUUUAUUCCUUUUUCUUAUGUUUUAUGACAUGCUGAACAUUUUUCCCUUCUAUGGCAACAUCAAAUUCUCACACUAACACUUACUUAUGAACAUUAGGUAUUUUUACCGAUUAUGUCAAUUUACUCGUUUUCACCUAAAAUCGGCUAGCAAAAGUUAUUUAACAUAAUUUCAAGCCUCAUAUUCUACCGUAAAACAUCAAAAUAAACAUAUUUCACCUACGGUUAUUUUUCCAAAUAUGAACCCUAGAUUAAAUUAUUGCUAGAAUAAGCUAAAUCAAGUUACCGGGACUCUAAAAACGUAAAGAACAUUAAAAACGCGGCUCGAAAUCACUUACUAUGGAGCUUGGAAGCUUCAAAACCCUAGAUAUGGCUUCCCCCUUGUUUAUUUCGUUCACCAUGGAGAAGAUGGACAAAUUUUUGGCUAUUUUGGCUUUUUUAAUUCUUUUAAUUACUAAAUGACCAAAAUGCCCACAACUUAAAAAUUUCCUAUUUCACUUAUCUCUUGUCCAUUUUUGUCCAAAAAAUAAACCAAUGGUCUAAUUACCAUUUAAGGACCUCCAAUUUAAAAUUUCAUAACAAUUGGACACUUCUAACAUGUAGAAAUCAACUUUUGCACUUUUUACAAUUUAGUCCUUUUGACUAAAUUGAAUGCCCAAACGUCAAAAUUUUCGAACGAAAUUUUCAUGAAAUUAUUUUAUGAAAUCGUAGACCUUAAAAACAUAAUGAAAAUAAUUUUUUUUCUUGUCAAAUUUGUGGUCCUGAAACCACUAUUCCGACUAGCCCAUAAUUCGGGUUGUUACAAGUUAGCUAGACUUUUUAGUUGCAUGCAUUAUCAUUGUUAGUCACUUUAUCGCCCAAUCUCUCUUGGGUUCGAUCCUUGAAAUACUCAAGGUGUUCUAUUGUAACACUUAUAAAUAUUAUAAUUGACCUACCACACUUAUAAAUAUUAUAAUUCUUGAUAUUUUAUGUUGAUUCUUUUCUCGUUGUUUCUACGUCGUGGCAUGAUCAAUUAAUAGAUGAAAUAGUUGUUUUAAUGCUUUAAAGCUUUAACUUACGCAAUUUGAUUGACCUUAUGUAACACCACUAACCCAUAUCCGUCGCCAGAAUAGAGUUACGGAGCAUUACCGAAAUAUACAGAUCAAAUACAGACAAUUCAUAUUACUUAACAAUCAUAUCAGAAAUUAUUCAUAAAGUCACUUAUAUGAACCGUCGAGGUCUAAAAUACACAUUAGAAACAAGUCGGGACUAAACCGGGUACUCAGAAAAUUUUUCACAAAAUUUCAAAAUUUUUCCAAUGUGCAGGAGACACACGCCCAUGUGGUCAGGCCGUGUGGGCAUUCAAAAUAGGGCCACGGCCGUGUCCGUACCCGUGUAACUCUCUGACUUGAGUCACAUAGCCAAGCCACACGCUUGUGUGCCAAGCCGUGUGAAAAAUAUUAUGUAAUAGCCCGAUUUUAGGCUUAGUCGGAACAGUGGUUUCGGGACCACAAAUCCGACGAAAAAAAAUGUAAUGGCUUGAAUUUUCAGAGGUGUCGGAACGGUGAUUCGAGAUCACUAAAUUCGACAAAUGGGUAGAAAAUAUUAUUAAUUUAGUAAGUAUAAGUUAAAUAUGAAGUUAGGAAAAUUUUUGAAAUAGUGAAUAGUGCACUAGAAAUAAAUAUUAAAAUAAUUAGAAUCGAAAUGAGGUAUCAAGACCUCGGGGAUUUUAAACUGAGCCAUAAAUAUUUUUAUAAAUAUUUAUGGAGUGUUAAAAAGUUAGUAUUAAAGUUUCGUUAAGAAAUUUUAAAGUUCCGAUAAUUAAUUGAACAAAAAGGACUAAAUUGUAACAAAUGCAAAAUUUUGGGAAAUGAUUAAAUAGCUUAAAUGAUAAAAGGAAGAGGGCUUAAAAGGCAAAUAGACCCAAGGUCUAUUUGGGCUGGACGGCAGAGGCAUGAAAUCAGCAAGAAAGUAAGGAGAAUUAAGGGCAAAAUUGGAAAAUUGCAAAAUUUGCUUAAUAAAGUUAGGACCCAAGUGGAAUUAUCUAGAUUUCUCUUCAUUUUUCUGAAUUCUCAUCAGCAAAAACACCAUGGAAGGGCUUCUUCAAGCUGGUUCUUCAUAUUUUUAUUACAAGUAAGUUCAAUUCUUGACUAUUUCUUGAAAUUUUUGUAUUUUUAUGACUUUUACAACUAGGCCCACUUGUUAAAUUCAUUAGUUUUUGAUUUUAUGAAAGAAGUUGAAAGUUGAUAUGAAUAUGUGCUGGAAGUAUAUGAUGAUUUAGCAUGAAAUUAGAGCUUUAAAUUGUUCAUAUGCUGAUUUUAUUGAAAGAAUUGAAUAGAAAGUGAAUGUUUGGGACCUAAUAGUAAAAGAGUUUGAAGAUAGAGUUAUAUGUGGAAAUUCUGAAUUUCAAUAGUUGUGUAACAACUUAUAAUGUCUAGUAAAGUAAUAAUUGAGAAAAUUAGAUUAAUUGAGGGGUUAAUUGAGAAAGGACCGAAUUGUAUAAACUGUGAAAUUUGGGGCAAAAUGGAAAUCAACAUUUUGCACUAAAGCAGUUUUGGACAGCAGCAGUAGUGUAACUUUGAAAAAUCACCAAAAAUUGUAGAGAUUGAAUUAGAGGAUGAAUAAAAUAUGAAACUAAAGCUUAUUGAGUCUAGUUUCUUAUAAAAGAAAUGAUGUGAGCAAUGGAAUUGUAAAUCAUGAGAUAUAAUAGAUUUUGUGAGACAAGGUCAGAAUGAAUUCGGGUUCCCCUGUUCUGACUUUGGAAAAUCAUUAAAAAUUGUAAAAAAAUGAUUAUGAGUUAUAGUUUAUAUGGUUAGAAUCCUUAAUGAGUCUAUUUUUAGAAGAAACAAGCUAAAACAUCAUCCGAAUUCUGUACAAUGAGAUAAUUAAUUUUUAGUGAAGAGUGGUCGGAACUGUCAGACAGCGAAACAGGGGAAACUUUAAAGAAUAAACUGUACUAUUUGGCUAAACCAAAAAUUAUGAAAAUUUUAUGGUAUGAAGAUAUGUGAGUCUAGUUUCAGGGAAAAUUAACGGAUCUUAAUUUGGAGCUCUGUAGCUCGGGAUAAAAAUAAUUUAGUGACUCUGACUCGGAUAAACAGCUUCGAAUAUACAUGUUAGUGAAUAUUGAAAUUAUGGUUAAUGUUGUUUAAGUGUGUUAUACACAUCAAGGAUGUGGAAUGGAGAGGAGGAGGAGGAAAAUUGGGAAAUAUAUGAAUGAUUCGUGUAUAAAUGGUCAUAUGUUUGAUUAUAACUCAUAAACGAUGAAAUAUGAAUGAUGCUUAUUUUUGUGCAUUAUUGGUCAUGGUUUAAGCUCAUGUGUGAAAAUAAAGUUUCAUAGUAUGUGUGUAUGGUAUAUUCAGUAUAUGAUUUGGCAUGAAAUAAUACCAUGAAUGGUUUAUGAAUUAACACAUGUUGGUAAGCCUGAUAUAUGAAUAAAUGAUCAAAUUGAGCGGAACGCCGGAUUUGAGUACUUCUGAUCAAGUGACAAAGUGAUAAGUGGUAGCUUUAGCUACACUUAUCUGAUCAAGUGACAAGUGGAAAGUGAUAAGUAAUAGCUUCGGCUAUACUUAUCUGAUCAAGUAACAAAGUGAUAAGUGAUAGCUUCGGCUAUACUUAUCUGAUCAAGUGACAAAGUGAUAAGUGAUAGCUUCAGCUACACUUAUCUGAUCAAGUGACAAGUGGAAAGUGAUAAGUGAUAGCUUCGGCUACACUUAUCUGAUCAAGUGACAAGUGAAAAGUGAUAAGUGAUAGCUUCGGCUAUCCUUAUCUGAUCAAGAGACAAAGUGAUAAGUAAUAGCUUUAGCUACACUUAUCUGAUCAAGAGACAAAGUGAUAAGUGGCUACACUUAUCUGAUCAAGAGACAAAGUGAUAAGUGGCUACACUUAUCUGAUCAAGAGACAAAGUGAUAAGUGGCUACACUUAUCUGAUCAAGAAACAAAGUGAUAAGUGGCUACACUUAUCUGAUCAAGAAACAAAGUGAUAGGUGGCUACACUUAUCUGAUCAGGGACAAGUGAUAAGUGAUCAUACGUAAGACCAUAGUUAUACUAUGGCAAAGUGAAAGUGAAGUACUCAAUUUUCCGUGACCGUUCCCUAAUUUGAUUAAGGAUGGUAAGUGACAAAUGGGCCCGAAAGAAUUAAAGUAAAUGGAUAAGUGGUAGUGUAUUUAUAUCAGGACGAUGUUGUUAUUCAAACUAAAGUGAUAUUUUCAUUGCUAAAUUGAGAAUUUCAUAAAUGUGUUAUUGAAUGGUAUAAUCAAUAAACAUUGAGUUAAAUGGUAAAUACGUAUUAGUUUUGAAUUUGAUGUCAUUGAAUUGUACGUGAAUUAAAUGGAAAUUGCUAGUGAUAUGAUUUAAAUUAUGAGCAUGAGAAAUUGCGAAUUGAAUGAAAUGGAAAUGAAGCAUUAAAUUGCAUGAGUAUGUAUCGGGUCUCGCAGGCCCUAAUUAUUAUGAUUAUAAUAUUUUGAGGAUAUAUUGUGAAAAGUUAUAGAAACAUGUUAAUUAUUUUGAAAGUUUUAAUUUUGAUGAAAUUUUAUAACUCGGUUAAAUACGUUUACAAGUGUAUGUGUUUUGGUAAUGCCUCGUACCCUAUUCCGGUGUUGGAUACGGUUAAGGGGUGUUACAUAUUAAGCAUUCUGUUUUGUAUUUUAAUGAUGCAGAGGACACAUAGCCAAAACACACGCCCAUGUGUUAGGUCAUGUGUCACAUACAGCUGAGACACACAUCCGUGUAUCUGCCCAUGUGGAUGAAAUAACACCAUUUUUAAGUCAUAUUUCUCACCUAAAUUUGCUUUCCACCUACAUAAACACUUAAACAUAUUCUCAAGCCAAUACAAGACAUUCAAAUCCAUUCAAAAUCAAGUCUUAUUGUAACAGCCCGAUUUUUAGUGGUGUAGGAAACAGUGGUUCGAGGCCACCAAAUUUGGCGAGUAAGCUCUUAAAUUUUAUUAUUUAAUAUUUAUGAGGCAAAUAUAGUUUUAAAAAGAUUUUUGAAUUGGUAAUUUAUGUCUAUGAAUUAUUAGGUUUGAGUGAUAAAAUCCUAGUUUGAGCGGUUUUAGAAAAUGAGUUAUCAGGACCUCGUUUCUAUAAACAAAGCCGUAAAUAUUUUUAUAAAUAGUUACGGAGUGUCAUUAAGGUAGUAUUAAAGUUUCGUCCAAAAAUUUUAACGUUUCGACAGUUAAUUAAUUAAAAAGGACAAAAUUGAAAAAGGUGCAAAACUUGUUAAUUAUAAUAAUAAUGUGACUAAAUGACUUAAUUAAUAAAUGAGGGAGGACUUAAGGAAUAAAUAUGCCUACAUUAAAUGGAUGAGGCGGCAUAAGAGAAAAAAAUAAUAAAAUAAAGCCAUUUAAUGGCAAAAUUGUAAGUUUGGUGAAAUUAAAAAUAAAACAAUUUGUAUUUAAAGAUUUUCUAGACAUUUCUUCAUAAAAAAUAUUCUGCCAAAACAACCAUGGAAGAGCUCCUUAAGCUCCUUGAGAUUGUUACAAUUAAUUUCAACUAAACAUUACCUUUGUUUUUUUAUUCUGUUAAAGAUUUUGGAUGUUGCCAUUGAUGAAUAUAUAUGGUUCUUGAUGUUAAAUAAUAAAUUUGAGAUAUUAUUUGUUAAUUAAAAGUAUCUUAUUAAGUGAUUUUUGAUGAAUUUCCCGAUUAGGGACUAAAUUGUUGAAAUGGUAAAAAUACAAGAGUUUGUUGUGAAUUUAUUGCAAAAAUGGGCUGUAUUGAAUGCCAUGAAUAUUUGGCUAGCUUGAAUUUGUAUUAAAAAUGGUUAAUUUUCAUCUUUUGAGUUCAGGGACUAAAUUAAAUAAAAGUAAAACUUUAAGGGUAAUUUUGUAAAAAUGUCAAAAAUGACCAAUUUACAUGAAAUGAAUUGUUUUAUUAUCUAAAUUAAUAAAUUGAAUGAAAUUAUUAAUUUAGAUCAAGAUCGGGAGGAAAAUAGAGGAAAAUAAAAAAUUACCAAAAUGCCCCUAAAUCUUGGUAUUUCUGCAAUUUAGCCAGGUAAGUUCGUGUAACUAAAUUGUAUAUUUAUAUGUUUGAAUUGAAUGUUGUGUAUGUAAAUUGUGUAAUUGCUAAGUAUGAAUAUUGAUAACAUCUCCGAAAAAUAUAUGACAAGUAUUAAAUUCCGUUUGAACAAAUGAAAUUCGAUGGAUAUAGGGUUCUCGAUAUAUGGCUCUCACGAGCUUCCCAUUAAUAGCUCUUUGGAGCAUCCUGAGUGGUUGUGUUCCUGCAUGUGUUGUGGACACACCACAUUUCGAAAGAGCGUCCUGAUAUUAGCUUUCAUGAGCAUCCCAUUAUAUAGUUCUUGCGAGUUUCCCAUUAAUAGCUCUUUGGAGCAUCCCGAUUGUUUCUAAUCCUACAUGUGUUGUGGACACACCGCAGCUCUUAUGAGCGUCUCGAUAUAUGGCUCUUCGUGAGCUUUUCAAGUAAAGGCUUUUUGUGAGCUUCUUGAUUAAUGACUCUCCGGAGCUUCCCGAUAUUGGAUCGCUUGAACCUUCCCGAUAUUAGCUCGUAUGAGCUUCCCGUUAUAUGGCUCGAAAGAGCUUCUUGUUAAGUGCUCGUAUGAGCAUUCGCGAAUAUGAAUUGACAGAUUACAGUUUUGUACACUAUAUGUAUACUACCCAUGUAUCCAUCGACAUUUUAAAUGGUUCAACAGGCAAAGUUUUGAUAUGAGAUAACAAGAGUUCGAAAUGAACUAUUACUGGAUAUACCUGAAAUACAUGGAAAUGAUAUUUACUUGAUAUAUUGAAACAUGACAUGGAAAAUAAAUGUAUAUGAAGCUUGCUUGAUAACUAUGUAUAUUCAUGAUUAUGAACUAUUACCGAAAUAAAUAUACACGAAAUUCAUGAAAAUGGUGGUACAUGAAAUAUUGAUAUAAUGAAAUGAAUAAUAUAUGUUUAUGAAGAAACGACAAGAGAAUUAUAUGUAUCAUGACAUGUAAAUAUGUGAUUAUCUUUGAUAUGUUGAUACAAGGAAAUUAUGUAUGUUGAGACGAGUAAUAAAAUCAAGUGUGACAUGUCGAGAAAAUAAGUUUAUCAAUGUUGAAUUUAUAUGCAAUAUGUGCAAGCACGCUAACCAGUGUUGUUGCUUGAUGCUUAGGCAAGUGGCAAGCUAUUGGUUGAAUGGUAAUAUAUUUAUUUAUAUGAUGCAUUGAAAUAGUAAGUACUUAAGUGAAAGUAUGCUAGUGCUCAUGAAAGAGUGGUAAGGUUUAAAUUGUGCAAUUUCUUAUGAAAUUACUUAUUAUGUGAUUAAUUCAAAAAAUGCUUUGUUUAAAUGCACUAGCUUGAGACCAUGGUUGAAUGAUAUGUUUAUGACUUAUGAGUCGUGUACAUGAAAUGAGUAUGGAAAGUAAAGAAAAGCAAAUGAAAAUAAAGUAAUUUGGAAGAGUUAAAGUUAUUUAAAAUCCUACUAAGUUUGGAAUAAUAUGUACAAGUGAUGCUGUGAAUUUAUUAACCUCGUGAGUUGAUGAAUAUAGCUUCAUGAGUAUCGCGGUAUCAAUGUUGGAUUAUUCUUGAUAUGUAUAAAUUUCAUAUUUGAAAUAAAUUGAUAUGAUUAAAGAUUUUACGAGCUUACUAAGCAUUCAUUGCUUAUGUAUUUGUUUUUAUUUACCUUACAAAUUAUCGAAAACUUGAAUGGGUUGGAAGCUUGCCAGAGCUAUAUCACACUAUCCAUCGGUUCUAUUGGUAAAAUUUUGGAUGAUCUGAUUCUAGUUAUAAUGGAAUGUAUAGGUUAUUUUGGUUAAAUGUUAGCCUAUAUGUGUUUUGGUAUUUUGGUAUAUGCACAAUUUGCCUUAUUAUGUUGAUGUGUGAAAUGAUUUGUGGUUGAGUGACGAAAGGUAAAAUAGUAGUCGGUUAUGCAUAUGAGGUGCCUAAAAGCAUAUUGGUUGUAUGUGAACAUAUAGGUAUAUUAAUAAUUGGUUUCAAGUAGAUUACUUGGUAAUAAUAUGCACAUAUAUAUUUUUGGAUAAAUAGGUAAGUUUGGAUAAUUGGAUAUAUGAGAAGAUAUUUUAUGUAUAAAAUUUGAUCCUGACUUAAUUUGAAUGCCUUGUAAUGGCUUGAUGAUGUUCUAAAAUGUUUGGUUAGUUUGAUGACAAGUUGGGUGAGAAAUGAGGCUAGGAAAAAUGGCCUAUUUCGUCCACACGGGCAGAAACACGGGCGUGUGUCUCAGCCGUGUGUGACACACGGCCAGGUGACACGGCCGUGUGUCCCCUGUAUCUAUUAAAUUGAGCAAAACAAAAUGUUCACACGGCCUAGCAUAUGGACGUGUGGCUUGGCCAUGUGACCCUUGCACUUAUUUAUUGCAAGUCAGUAUGCUCACACGGACUAGCACACGAGCGUGUGGCUUGGCCGUGUGACCCAAGUCAGAGAGCACCUUAAUAUGGACACGGGUUGGGACACGACCGUGUGUCCCUAUUUCGGAUGCCCACAUGGCUUGACCACACGGGUGUGUGUCCCUUGCACCUUGAAAAUUUUUUGAUAUUUUCUGAAAAAAUUUUUGAGUACCCGGUUUAGUCCUGACCUAUUUCUAAUGUGUAUUUUGGGCCUCGAGGGCUCAUAUAAGGGACUUUAUGAUUGACUUCUGAUAUGAAUAUUGUAUGAUGUGAAAUAUCUGUUUACUUGAUCUGUAAAUUUCAGAAAUACUCUGUAACUCUAUUCCGACAACAGAUAUUGGUUAGGGGUGUUACACUUAUACAUGAUAUAAUACCUCUUAUAACCAAGUAUACAAACUUACCUAACUUACCAAAUUCACAUAUAUGCAUAUUUUACCAAAUAUGCUAACUUAAUUUAAUCAUUAAUAUACCAAUAUAAUUUUAUCAAUCAACCAUUUCAAACACAUAUCAAACAUGAUAUAGCCUCUUAUAUUCACAUCAAAACAUGUUAAUUACAAGCCAUUCCAAUGGCUAGUUACAACCAAAACAUUUAUAUGCCAACAUUGACGAAGUUAACCUAUAUAUGCCAUUAUAACCAAAGUUGAUUUACUAAAUAUACCGAGAUGAGUCGAUGGAUAGUGUGAUGAUAUCUCCGCCAAGCUUCUAACCUAACGAGCUUCCAAAUUACUAUAGAAUAGAGGAAAAUAAAAUAGAGUAAGCAUAUUAUGCUUAGUAAGUUCGUAUAACGGGAAAUUAACUUACCAUUCAUUUACAUUUAAAGAAAGCAUGAAAAAUUCAUCCAAAGAAAUUUGACAAUUUGCGUAAACACAUAUAACCUCAAGAAACAUGUUAGUCAUGUACUUCAUGUGAAUAUCAAGAAACAAGGAUGAGCUCAUCAUGUAACUAUUUUCAUAUACAUAUAUUUUCCACAUCAUAUAUUCAUAUAACAUAUACAUUUCCAUAAUAAUUCAUCUCAAGUUCAGAUUAUUCCAUGUCAGAAAUUUACCCGUUGAAUUUAUUUGAAAUAUCGAUGGAUACACAGGUAGAACACCUGAAGUGUACAAAAUUGUAAUCCGUCAAUUCAUAUUCCGGAAUGCUCAUUUGAGCACAUAAACGGGAAGCUCUUUCUCGAGCCAUAUAAUAAGAAGCUCAUGUGAGUUGUAUAAUGGGAAGCUUAUCCGGGCUAUAUAACAGGAAGCUCAUAAGAGCCAUAUUCAGGAAGCUCAUGCGAGCCAAUAACGGGUAGCUCUAAAGAGCCAUUAAUCAGAAAGCUCCGAAUAGUCAUAUAUCGGGAAGUUCAAGCGAGCCAUAUCGGGAAGCUCCGGAGAGCCAUUAAUCAUGAAGCUCACAAAGAGCCUUUAAUCAAGAAGCUCCGAAAAGCCAUAUAACGGGAUGCUCAUAAGAGAUACGGUUUGUCCACAACACAUGCAGGAUCAUAACCGAUCGGGAUACUCCGAAGAGAUAUUAACGGGAAGCUCGCAAGAACCAUAUAACGGGAAGGUCGAGAGGGCUAAUAACAAGACGCUCUUUCGAGCGGUGGUGUGUCCGCAACAUAUGCAGGAUCACAACCAAUACGGAAACCCUGUUUUCAUCGAAUUUUAUUUAUUCAAUUGGGACUUAAUGUUUGUCAAGCAUUGUCGGAUAUAAUAUUAAUUUCAUAUACAUAGUAACAAUACAAUCACAUACAUACAACUCAAUUAACACAUAUGAAUUCUCAAUUUAGUUACAUGAACUUACCUCGACAAGUGUUCAUUUAUUUGUAAUCUACUAAUCCGACACUUUUUUCUUUUCCUCGAUCCAAUUUUGUAUUUGACCUAUUCAGAUCUAUAUGAAUAAAUUUAACAUCAAUUCAUGUUCAUUUCAAUUCAAUUCAAUUCAUAUCUUUGGAAAUUACCAUUUUGCCCCUAUACUUUUGAUUAAUUACAAUUUCGUCCAUAGGCUCAAAAAAUGAAAUUCAUGCAAUUUAAUCCUUAUUCCAAGGCUAGCCAAUUUUUACAUGUAACAAUAACAGCCCAUAUAUUUCACAAAAUUUAGAAUUUUUCCAUCAAUUUUACAUCUUUACAAUUUAGUCCCUAAAUCACAAUUUCAUAAAAAUUCACUUUACAAAAGUUGUUUAUCUAUCAACAAUCUUUCAUUUUCUACCAUAAAAUUACAUAAUUCAUGCAUAUUCAUCCAUGGAAAAACCCUAGUACUUUGAUAACUUUACAAAUUAAUCCCUGAGAUAGCUAAAUUAAGCUAUUACGAUCUCGAAAACAUAAAAAUCAUUAAAAACAUGACUUGAAUACUCACAUAAUUGAGCCAAAUAAGCUUGCUACCUUCAAGCUCUUCUAACUAGGGUUUCCACGUAAAAAUAAUUUGGGAAAGAUGAUAAUAUGAUGAUAUUUUCAUUAUUUUAUCAUUUAUCAUCUUUUAUUAUUUUACUUUCCAAUUUCAUCCUUUUCUUUAUUUAAUUUUCCAUGGAUGAGUCAUCAUACUUAUCUACUAACUCCUCUUAAUGGUCUAUUUGUCAUAUAAGGACCUCAAAUUUUGAAUUCCAUAGCUAUUUGAUCCCUUUAGCGACUAGAAUUCAACUUUUUCAUUUUAUGCAAUUUUGUCCUUUUUAUCAGAUUAGACAGAAAAUCAAUAAAAUUUCUUUACAAAAUUUUCAUACAAUAUUUCUAUCAUAAUGCAGACCAUGAAAUAAUAUUAAAAUAAUUUUCUUACGGACUCGAAUUUGUGGUCCCAAAACCACUGUUUCGAUUUCACUGAAAACUUGUUGUUACACUUUAACACGUUUUUAUUAAGUGAAGGUUCAAUCAUAAGAUACUCUCAUUUAUGCAUAUUGAUUUCUAAUAUUGCAAAAGGUCAAAAAUACUUUUAAAAUUGGGAAACAUUGUUAAAACAUUUUCGAUAUAUAUAGGUAGUGUUCCAGUAAUUAUAACUGAAAAGGUGUAAGUAAUCAAAAGUUAUAACUUCAAUUAUUAAUCAAGAGUUAUGACAAUUCAUAAUAAUGAAUUAUGUUUCUUAAAUAUGACGAGCUAUAUGAAGAGACAUGAGAAUUCAAGUAAUCAUUAUGUUUAUUUAAGAGAUGUGAUUAUUUAGAGAAGACACCUAUUAAAAAGUUGUCUUUAUGAAGAGAUAUAAGAAUUCUUAUAAAUCAAGGUGAAAUCUCAUUCGGAUAAUAUAAUAAAAAGUUUUGAAAAUGGUUUUUUAUAUUAUCUCUCUAUCUUCUAUUAUUAUUAGAUUAUUCUAUAAAAAAAUUACUACAGAAAUUAUUUAUUGAAAUUGAUUUUCUUGUUAUCCUCUACUUAGUGCUUAAUGGACUAUUUUUGUUAGUGCAAAACGCAAAUAGCCAUCAAGCUUCAUUGUAUCCUCGAGGUUCAUUUGCUUGAAACUCAUUUGCAUACCAAAGAUAAGCAGGAGAAAACAGAACCUUAAAAACCAUGGCUUGAUACACACCUUGGGGCCUUAUCUUAUUCAUUAGUUUUUCUAUUCAAAUAAUUGUUCUUAUUCCUUUCGCAUGUUCUAGAUUUUCUUGGUUCUUCACCAAUAAUUCAAAAGCUUUACUCCAACAAUAGGUUGAUUAACGUGAAUUAGAAAGAAAUAGCUUGACAUGUUCCAUGAGUUUUCUAAAUAGAAUCUUAGCUAAUUUUUGUUCCUAAAAGCUCUUAAGUUUAUGCCAUAAGUGAUUGAAUCUAAGAUGUUUCAUUGUAGUUAAUUUUGUGGCUACAGGAAUAAUAUACAUAUUUACUUUUAGCAACGAAAGAGAGAACAAAAUGACCAUUAUUUCACAAAUUUUCUUUUCGUUAAUAAUGAAGAAAACCUAAUUAUCAUAAUACGAUUAAUAAAAUAUUGACAGUAUCAUAUAAUUAGAUAAACUAGAAGAAAAUUGUUGUUGGAAGAUCUUAGGUCGAGAAAAAUUUGUGAAGUGUUGUGCAUUGGAAGUCAUCAAACUCUUCAACAAUUUCAUAUUGACUCUUAUGAGUAUUUUAUCUCCUAAUUCUAUUGAGUGCCUAAGUGCUUAAAGAGUUGACAAUGAUGGAUUUACAGAGCGAGAGUGUCUCACCCACCAAGCCAAUAUCAAAUUUGCACUUGAUGUGAUUUAAACCUAUGCCAUAUAGUGGUGUUUUUGGAAUCGAAUCGGACCUUUAAGUGAACCCUCAAAAUUAGAAAAAAAUCAAGAAAAAUCGAUGGUUGAAUCAAUUUAUAAUUUUUUAAAUUUUUAAUAUUUUAUUAAUUUUAUGAAUAUAAUUGUUUGUUUAAUUAUUGUUGUGUUAGCAAUUGAACCGAUUGGAUUAAUUGAACCAAGAAUCAGUGGUCUUACCAAUUCAACCAUCAAUCUAGUUUCAAAAGCAUUGGUAUAUAGAGCAUUGUUGGGUAAGUAUGCUACCACUUGGGUGAGGCACUAGCACCUGCCAUUAUCGUCUCUUUAGUAUUCCUUACUCAAGUUCUUGACAAAGUUGAGAGACAAAACUCCUACCAGGGAAAAUAUUGAACAUGUUAAAGGUUUGUCGACUCUAGAUGGGCAACACUUCACAAACUCAUAUUAGAGGAUUCAGAAAUCUCUUAACAAAAAAAAAAUAUGUUAAAGGGUGGCUUGUUUCUAGUGGAGAUUUUGUCUCUCGACUUUACCAAGUGCCUAAAGAGGUGUCAAUGGUGAGUUCACAUAGCAUGAGCACUCGUCACAUCCUAGAAGCCAAAACAUGCUUGUUAUGUAUGGUUAUACUUAGAGGUGAUCAUGGGCCGGGCCGGGCUCUGGUUGGGCCUAGACACAAUUUUAGGCCCGUUUUCUAGGCCUAGGCCCGACCCAGCCCAAAAUAUGGGCCUAAAAACCUGUCCAAACCCAGCCCGAAAAAAAUUACUAAACCCGAGCCAGACCCGGCCCGGCCCAUAUUAAAUUUUACAACACCAAAAUAGCAUAUUUUAAAAAGAAAAUAGCAUAUUAAAUUUUAAAAAGUAUAUUUGAUUAAAAAUAAAAAUAUAUAUUUAAUAUAUAAUUCGGGUUGGGCCGGGCCGGGCCUAGGCCAAAAAAUUUUUACCCGAGGCUCGGCCCGUUUUCUAAACGGGCUUUUUUUUUGCCCAAACCCAUAUUUUGAGCCUAUAUUUUACCCGAACCCUCCCAUUUUUCAAGCGGGUCGGGCCGGGUAGCCCAACCCAUGAUCACCUCUAGUUAUACUUAUACCCAUACCCUAUCGCUUAAAAGGCGUUGGGUGAGAAUGUGACCACUUGGGGUAACAAAAGUAGUAGCAUAGUACCUAACAAUGGGCAUGAGCUCAAAUUCCAACAACCACAAUAUAUGAUAUUUCUUUAGUGGGUGAGGCAAUUUCACUCUAUGAAUUCGGUAUCAUCACCUCUUUAGACACUCAGUGUAACAUCCUGAUUUUGGGUCUAGUCGGAAUAGUGGUUUCGGGACCACAAAUCUGAUGAGAAAAAAAUUGAUUUUAUUAUAUUUUUUUGGUAUACAAUUUCAUAAAAUGAUUUCGUGAAAAUUUUAUUCGAAAAUUUCGACGUUUGGGCACUCAAUUUAGUCAAAAGGACUAAAUUGUAAAAAGUGCAAAAGUUGAGUUCUACAUGUUAGUGGUGUCCAAUUGUUAUGAAAUUUUAAAUUGGAGGUCCUUAUAUGGUAAUUAGACCACUGGUUAAUUUGGUAGACAAAAAUGGACAUGGUUAGGCAUGUUUCCAAAGUUUUUCAUUAAGGGCAUUUUGGUUAUUUAGUUAUUAAAAUGAAUUAAAAACAAAAUUAGAAGCCAAUUUUUGUCCAUCUUCAACCCCAUGGCCGAAUUUCACAAGGGGAAACCAUGGCUAGGGUUUUUCAAGCUUCCAAUCUCGAUUGUAAGUCUGUUCUAGCCCCGUUUUUAAUGUUCUUUACGUUUUUAGAAUCACGGUAGCUUAAUUUAGCUUAUUCUAGCAAUAAUUUAACCUAGGGUUCAUAUUUGGAAAAAUACCCAUAGGUGAAAUAUGUUUAUUUUUGAUGUUUUAUGAUGGAAUAUGAAGCUAUAAAUUAUGUUAAACAACUUUUGCUAGUCGAUUUUAAGUGAAAAUGAGUAUAUUGACAUAAUCGGCAAAAAUACCUAAUGUUCAUAAGUAAGUGUUAGAGUAAGAAUUUGAUGUUGUCAUAGAAGGGAAAAAUGUUCAUCAUGUUAUAACACAUAAGAAUAAGAGAUGAAGUUUAAUUUCCAAGCUUUGGGGCAAAAGUGUAAUUAUGUAAAAGUUUAGGGAUAAAAUCGUAAUUUUGUCAAAGUUAGAGUCGAGGACUGUUUUGAUGAAUGUGGGUAUUAAAUAAUCUAAAUUUGAAAUUAUAGAUCACGAAGAAUGAAAUUCGGAGCUAGACUGGGGAAAGAAAAAGAUUGAGGACUAAAAUGUUAGAUUUGAUCACAUUUUUGUACUGAGGUAAGUUUACGGUAAAUAAAUGCAAUAUUUUGAUAAUUAUUAUUAAUGCUGUUAUUUUUCAGCAAUUAUGUAUUUAUUUCAUGAAAAUAUCUAAUGUUAACUCAAGUAUGAGAUUACAGAGAAUCAGUGUUCAAAAGGCCCCGUUGAAACAUGAGGAAUGUAUCGGAUACAAAUGUCAUGAAAUUAAGAGGAUGAGAUCCCAUGUAAGACCAUGUCUGGGACAUGGCAUUGGCAUCAUUGUGAUUAUGAGAGGUCUCAUGUAAGACCAUGUCUGGGACAUGGCGUUGGCACCGAGAUGAGAGGUCCCAUGUAAGACCAUGUCUAGGACAUGGUGUUGGCACCGAGAUGAGAGGUCCCCCGUAAGACCAUGUCUAGGACAUGGCAUGGGCACCUAUAUGAGAACUCCCAUGUAAGACCAUAUCUGAGAUAUGGCAUUGGCAGUACAAGAAACAUCCCAUGUAAGACUAUGUCUGGGACAUAACUUUGGCAUGUUAUAUUCAGACAGGAGACCCGAGUAUCCUUAGUAUUCCAAGUGAUUCAACGGGCUAGUAAAUAGACGAUGUUACAUGACAAUUCAGGUAAAAGCCUAAUAGACAAGUUUUAGGUGAGUUAAUAAGAUUAAGAGUAUCUCAGUUAUCAGUUGAGAAAAGAAAUUUCAGCAACGAAUGAGUGAGUUAAGCAAGCAAGCAAGUAAACGAGUAAGAGAGUAAGUAAAGAAGAAAGUAAAGAUCUUAAUGCUUAAUGAAAAUUUAUGAAUAUAAUUGUUUAUGAUAAAUGUUGUUAUUUAUUUACUUGUAAACUUACUAAGCUUUAUGCUUACUUCUUUUAUUUCUUUUUCUUUCAUAUAGAAUUAUCAAUUAUAGGGGAUCUUGAAGACGUCGGAGAGCGUUCACACUAUCAACCACCACAACUCGGUAUUUUAAAACGAUAAAUGUUUUGAGCUAUGGCAUGUAUAGGGACUUGGUCAUUUUUAUUGUAUAUUCUUAAGAUAUGAACAAAAGAUGAUAUGUAAAUAUUUGAUGAUGAAUAGUUAUUAAAAUGGCUAAGUAUGAAGGUGUUUGUUGUUAUAAAUGUCUAGGUGUUAAAUUAUGCAUAGAAAUCAUGAAAAAGUAUAAAUUGGUAGUAAAUCAGUUUUGAGACAACAGUAGUGACGUGAUUUUGAAAAAUCACAAAGGAUAGUAGAAAAUUAAUUAGAGGGUGGAUGAGAUAUAAAGUUAAAUCUUAUUAAGUCUAUUUUCAUAGAAAAAUAACGGUGUAGACAAAGGAAUUAUGUAUUCUGAGAUAUUUGCAUUUUAGUUAGACAAGGUCAAAGUGGUUUUCGGAAUCCCCUGUUCUAACUUUGGAAAAUCAUUAAAAAUUAUAAAAAAAUAUUUAUGAGUUGUAAUUUAUAUUUCUAGAUUCCUUUUUGAGUCUAUUUUCUGUAGAAACAAGUUAGAACACUAUAUGAAGUCUGUACAAUGAGAUAAUUUAAUUUUAGUGAUGAGAGGUCAGGACAGUCGAUCAGUGAAAAAGGAGAGACUUCAACUAAUAAACUGUACUAAUUGGCUGAACCAAAAAUUCUGAAAAUUUAUGGUAAAAAUAUGUUUGAGUCUAGUUUUUGGGAAAAUUUACGGAUCUAAAUUUCGAGUUUCGUAGCUUGAGUUAUAAUUAAUUUAGUAGCUGCUGCGUAGAUGGACAACUUUAUUAUGAACAGUAAAAUAACUUUUAAAAGUAAAUUUUUAUACCCCAAACUUUUAAGUUAAGUCAAGUAAUGCCUCAUGCUCGACUCCGGCAACGGUCUCGGGUAAGGGGUGUUUCACUCGGGCAUACGAUAAAAUCAAAAGACAAAACCUCCACUAAGAACAAUACUAAACAUGUUGAGAGGUUCAUUGGCACCAAAUAAACAACACUUCAUACACUUCUCCUUAAGAAGUCUAACAACCCCAACAAAACUAAUGUUGUAUUUGUUAGUUAAUGAGAAAAAAAUUUCAAAUCAAGAAAAGAAUUUGCUUAUAUGGAAUUAUGUGUAUAUAUAUAUAUAUAUAUAUAUAAAUGAUUCUUAACAAUAAUAAAGAGAAGGGGUAUACUUUUUGAUACUUGAAUUUGGUUUCUUUUUUUAAAUUGAUAUUUAUGUUUCUUUCCGGAUUGUACCAAAAAAGAGUAUAGGAACUAAAAUUCACAUUUAAAUAUAGUGGGAUCAAAACCAUAAUAUGAUUGGAGCCAAUUUAUACUCAACACAAUAUACUUAAUAAAAGUAUAAUGACUAAAUCUCAAAUUUAAGUAUAGUAAAGGGAUCAAAUUCAUAAUAUGAUCGAAGAUAAUCUAUACCUACCACAAUCACCCCUAAUAUAUAUAGUACAAUAAAAAAUAAAUAUUUGAUACUACUUGAUCUAUUUUUUUAUUGAUUUAUAUCUCACAAAUUUGACUAUUAUAUUUAUUUUUCGAUAUUAAUUCAUGGUCCAUAUGAAUAUGAGUAAAAAAAUAUUACAUAACACGUGUUACCGCCUUUUGCUUUUUUUAAGAUUAUAUGACAAUGUUAAAUUUCAGUUUUUUUGUCCCUACCCUAUUGUGUAAGAUUGAGAUUUAAUAUCUAUACUUUAAUUUUUAACAUAAUUGAGUACUUAAAUUUUUAUAACGUCAUUAAUUAGUCUAGAUAUUUUAUUUUUAUUAAAAUAUUGAUGUGAAUUUUAAAAAAUUGUUAACACCAUUAAAAUUCUUUGUCAAAUUCAAGUCUAUUACAAUAUUUUUUCUUGUUACAUAGGUACUAAGUGAGUUUUUCAGAAACAAUUCAAAACAUCAGACUUGCUAAUUCAAUUAAAAAAUUGUAGCAAUGUUAACAACUAAACUUAAAUUUUUAAAUCUAAAAAGUAAAUGAAUUAAAUCCUUAAAAAAUAAAAAUAUAAAGUCUAAAUUUCAAAUAUAUAAAAAAAAAUAUUGAAACUUAAAUUAACCUAAUACGUAACAUGGUGGAAACUCAAAAACCAUACCAAUUAAUAUUUUAAUAUAACUUAGAUUUUAAUUAAAAAAAUUAUUGUACACUUGAAUGAUAUUAACUAGAAUGGUUUUAUCAAUGCUUCACGUCUGGUUAAUUAUUUUUUGAACCAAAUUAUAUAGUAAAAGUUUGUAAGUUAAAAUAUGUUUGAAGUCUCUAUAUUUUUUAAAUAUUUUAAUUGAUAUCGUUAAAAUUUUUCUAUUAAAUAUAUUAGUGUAACAUAUUAAAAUUUUAGAGAAAAACUCACUUAACAACCAUAUAGUAAAAAAAUAAUAUUGUAAUUGAUUUAAAUUUAACAAAGAAAUUUAAAGGGGUUAAUAAUUCUUAAAAACUGUAUAGGGUUUAGCUAGUACAGGACCAAACUGAGAAAAGAAAAUACAAGUACCAAAGUGAGAAUUUAGCUAUAGUAUAGGGCCAAAAAAGAUAUUAAGCCUUUAUUAAACCCUAAUUUUUUGUUCACUUAUUUGAAAGGUCUUUACUCUUUCUUCCAUCGUCAUCUUCCUGCUACCAUCAUCCAUCUCUUCUCUCUCUCGUCUCUGCAAAUCAGGUUUUUUUUUUUUUAAUUAUCUUUUGCUUCUCUUCUCCCACAGCCGUUGGUUUUUAGAGAAAUGAUCUUUAGAGCCAGAAAUCUUUCUCCGUCGAAUUUGAUACCCCUUUCUUCUCUUGCCCUUUUCUUUACCAAACCAUCUUUUACUUCAACUACAUUGAUAAGUCCAUUAUUACCUGCAAAUACGCCCCAAAUUCCCAACAAGUUUUCACACCUCAUCUUCUUCACCAAUCAUUUCUCCUCUCAAUCUACGGCCACAACUUCAGCAACUAAAAAGCUUCAAAAACAUCUGCAGAAGCAGGAGCCAUCUUCUCCUAAACCUUUGACCCUGAACCGAGAUGGAAACUAUGAUGAUGGCACUCCCUACAAUGUUGUUUGCCCAGGAUGUGGGGUUCACAUGCAGGACUCAGACCCUAAGCUUGUUGGGUUCUUCAUCAAGCCUCCAACAAAGACCAAGGACCCGACGCUCAAAACAAGUUCCCGCCACUUGGUACCUGUUUCAACAGAACCUGAAUUCACAGCGUUUCUCAAGAAAGGUCUGAUUUUGGAGAAAAAACGUGAAAGUCCUGACCUUGAAGAAGAAAACCUAGAUAAAGAAAUGCCUGAAAAGCCUGUGGUUUGUGCUAGAUGUCACUCAUUGCGCCACUAUGGCAAGGUGAAGGAUCCAACGAUGGAGAACUUAUUGCCAGAAUUUGAUUUUGAUCAUACAGUCGGGAGGAGAUUGGGAUCAGUUUCAGGAGGUCGGUCGGUGGUGUUAAUGGUGGUUGAUGCAUCAGAUUUUGAUGGAUCAUUUCCAAGAAAAGUGGCAAAACUUGUAUCUGAUGUAACUGAAGAGAAUUACUCAGCUUGGAAACAGGGAAAAUCCGGAAAUGUGCCUAGGGUUGUGCUUGUAGUUACUAAGAUUGAUCUUUUACCUAGCUCAUUGUCACCUACGCGAUUUGAGCAUUGGGCAAGGCAGAGAGCGAGGGAAGGUGGAGCUAGCAAGAUUGCAAAAUUGCAUUUUGUGAGUCCUGUGAAGGAUUGGGGGGUGAAAAACUUGGUGGAUGAUGUCGUGGAGAUGGCAGGGCCUAGAGGUACUGUGUGGGCAGUGGGUGCCCAAAAUGCUGGAAAGAGUACAUUGAUCAAUGCCAUUGGCAAGUGUGUUGGUAGGAAGAUUGGUUUCUUAACAGAGGCACCGGUGCCUGGGACAACUUUGGGCCUAGUAAGAGUGGAAGGGGUGCUGCCAGGACAGGCAAAGUUAUUUGAUACUCCAGGGCUUUUACAGCCACAUCAGAUGACGACUAGGUUGACAAGGGAGGAGCAGAAGCUUGUCUAUAUUAGUAAGGAGCUGAAACCAAGGACGUAUAGAAUCAAGGUGAAUCUCAAAACAAGUAGCAUUAGUCUACUUUCAAUAUAAUGUGCUACCUACCUAAAUUUCUAGCUAGAAUUUGCUGUUGCGAUGGUCUGUAAAUAGAUUUUUCUGCCCAUUUUUUGGUCAGAAUAGAUUCUUUAUUUUUGCUGGCUGGUGUUUUGUUUCAGAUAUUCUCUAGAUAAUUCUGGGUUUCACGUUUUGGUUCCUUUUUGUAGUUUAAUGCUAAUAGAUUCAAAUUUGACAGGCUGGUAACACAGUUCAUAUUGCUGGAUUAAUGAGGUUGGACAUUGACGAGUCAUCUGUGGAAUCACUAUAUGUUACGGUUUGGGCAUCCCCUUAUCUACCAUUACACAUGGGGAAAACUGAAAAUGCACAAAGAAUACUAGAGGAUCAUAUUGGUCAUCAGUUACAGGUAUGGCAUCUCAAGGGAGUAAUAUCUUUCACUUGAUACAAGUGAUGCAAUGCAAAAAUGCUUUUUUGCCAUUCUGCUCUAUUCAGAUUUUCACUUUGCAAUAUGAUAUUCUUCUUGGAAUUGAAACAGCCUUGGGAUGUGCUGCAAAGUUUAUAUAGCUAUCCUUCUACAGCAUUUUUGCUUGUGUAUAAUGUUACCCUUGACACUUUCUGUCUGCUGCUUGCUUUUAGCCACCAAUUGGAGAGCAACGAGAAGGACAGCUUGGCAGUUGGGUGAGAAAGGAAUUCCAUAUUUCGGGUAAUAGCUGGGAAUCGAGUUCAGUGGACAUUGCUGCUGCUGGUAUUGGUUGGUUUGCUAUUGGACUUAAAGGAGAGGCAGUUUUAGGGGUUUGGACCUAUGAAGGAGUUGGCGUUGUUCUUCGCAAUGCUUUGCUUCCUCAUAGAGCACAGCUUUUCGAAGAGGCUGGAUUCACAGUCUCUAAAAUCGUGUCCAAGGCUGACCAAACUUUGAAUAAGUCACAGAAGCAAAUUGAAAAGAAGAAACGAAGUGACCAGAAAACAGCCAUAGCAGCUGAAGUUUAAUUCCAGCACAAGUUAUCGCUAAACCUGGCUGGAAAAGAUAUGUAAACAUGGGAAGAAAAAUCCCGACAUGAACUGUCCGAGGAAAGAAAAAGGUAGCAAACAGUCUCAAGCCACUUUGAAAAAUACAGAAUACUUAUCUGGAGCUUCCUUUCAGGCAAUCAUCUCUUAAGAAUUUUUCGCCAGUUAACAUAGACCCACGCAUCCUGCUGAAGAGAUGAGCUUAUAGAAUGCAUACGCCUGGCACGCUAGUCUGUUUAGUGAGAAACAAAGAUGCUUUUGGUAUCGCCUUUACAAUUUUGAAAAUUUGCUGCAUCUGUUUUCAUGGUACAAAGAUAUGUUUUUUAUGGUACAUCUUACAGAGGCAAACCCUUUUGAUUUUGGCUUACAUAUAAAAAGCCAUUAGGAAAAUGAAAAAAAAAUUGGUUAACUAAAAUAAUCUCCUCAUUGACUAUUGUGAUUGUUAAAAUAAAUUGAUGUGCUAAUUAGAUGGUGACAUAUGGAACAUCAGGUUUAAUUUAAUAUUUAUUUAACUAAAAUAAAAAAAUCAUAAAAUUUAUAAAAUAAUCAAAAUAAAUAGGAAAAAUAUAUAAUUUAUUAAAUAUUAAAAAGUUAAAAUUAUAUAAACUUAUAAAUAUUAUAAAAUAUUAAAAAUAUAAAAAACCUAAUAAAUUCAAAUAAAUUAUAAAAAAUUUUAUAACAUUAAUAAAACACAUUUAAAAUAUUUAAAAUUUUAUAUAAACCUAUUAAAAUUCUAUAAAAAUCAUAUAAAUUACUUAAAAAUAUAAAAAGUACUAAAAUUGAUAUAAAAUUAUAAAAAAUCAUAAAAACUUGAAAUGCACCAAAUUAGUUGGUUGGAUCGAUUAGACCGAAAUCGGCAAGAGUAUCAAUUCAGAGAAAGCCAUUAGAUCGGUUGACUUGGAAACUGAACGGUUGAACCGAUUCUUUUAUUCUUUUAUUUUUAAUGUUUUGUUUAAUUGAACUAGACGGAUCAAUUGAACUGACAAACAAGUGACCUGGUCAAUUUGACCACUAACCCAGUCCUGAAAACCUUUGUUAGAAUAUUUUAUUUUGACAUAUGUUAAUAGUUGGAAAAUAAAAUUUUGGUUUAAAGAAAAUAUUAAAAAAUAAAAAUCAGUUCAACCGCCCGGUUCCCAAGUUAAUCGAUCUAGUGGCUUUCCUCAUAUCGGUUCUUUUGUCGAUUCAUUCAGGUAUGAUAUCUAAAGUAUGUAUUUGUUGGAAUUUCUUCUGAAUUAAUUUUCGUAAGUGAAUAGAAUAAUACGGGAUUAGUGACGAUAGAAUUAGUCAGAGAAAUGAUAUUUGAAUCGUAAAGAUGUCUAAGGGAGACAAUUGUAAUUGAAUAGAUUAUGAUGAUCUCUCUUGAGUAUUUUUAUAUUCACUUAUCCUCAGAGAUAUAUGUGAUUGUUCGUUUUCUGAUGAAAUUAUUACCACAUGAGAAUGUUAGCUGAUUAUAAUGUUAGAUGAAAGUACUAUUGUUCUGGUUGGUUAAUGAUUAGCAUAUCUUAUCUCUCUAAGGUUCUAUUCUGUUAUGUUUGGAAUAAAGGUUGAUGGUGAAAAUUAUGUGAGGCUAUUCUUCUGUUUACGCUGGACAAUGUUUUUUCUUAUGUAUAUUUGGAAAAUAUAUUAUCUUUGUUUCAAUUGAUACCAAAAUGUGCAAGCAUUGUUUUCUUCUGGAUUCCUCUGAGGAAUCAUCAAGAUCUUUAUUAUUUUCCUAUGAGUUAUGCUUUCAGACUUUCAAUAUGAUAUCGCAUCUUGGAUUUCUUUAUCUUGGUUUUCUUAUCAUCCUUAUUUCUUAAAGUAACAAUCAUGACUCAUCUUAAAAUGUGUUCUUUGGCUUGUGAUAGCUAUGUUUAUUAUGGGUGUAAUCCUGGUUCGAUCAAAGGAACGUGGUGAUUUUAGUAUCAGGAUUUCUCUAAAUUUUGUGAAAAGAAUUGACAUAAGCAAAGGUAUGCAUAGUGAAAGCUCAAAUUCAAAUUCUAUAAUGGUUUUCUUUUCUCAGGUAAGUCUGAUUAAGGUAAAUGAGUUCAAUCCGGAUAUUUUGUUUCCUUGACCUAAUGCAAUUGUAAGGAUCUUUGACUAAUAUGUUAUGGGAAUUAUAAAAGAUUAUAUGUUUGAGUUGUUUAACAGUUUGAAGAAAGAGUAUUUUGGUAUGUAUUAUUCGAUAGUUGAGAUCAACUCAGUUGUUUUGUCAGAGCAAGUUGGUCUGUUGAAAUGUAAUUUGAGUUAUAUGUGUGUAAAGUAUUCUCAGGUAUGAUAAUGAAUUUUGGGUAUUCACGAGUGUGUAGACGGACAGUCUGAAUGAAGAAUUGAUAUUCUUGAAGGCAUGAUACAGAAACAUAUCUAUCAGAUUUGUUCUAAUUGAAUGAUGUUAUUAUUAUGGGUUAAAGUUAUUCUGAUUGAUAAAGUUAUCACAAUUGUGAAAGUUUGAAUGGUCGGUUGCAUGUUAGCAAAGUUGAAACAGUUGAAGGUAUUAUUAACCGAAGCUUUAGUUCUGGGUUCAGUUUGAAUUGAGUAAAGAAUUCGUGAUUUUUUUCAGUAAUGCACUAAUGAACGGAUUAGAAUAUGUGUAGUUAUCAAUUCACCUUUAAGGAAGCAGAUAUAGUUACGGAUAAUUGAACAGAAAAUCCUUGUUUAUUUUAUAAGUGUUGAUUACAUGAGUCACCCUAUCUGAUGUUGGUCUAAUUCCAGCUGAAUUAAAAAGGCAAAGAGAUAUUUCCUCUGCGAGUUUGAAAAGCUUAUAAAUGUGUUAAGGAAUGGUAGUCUGAAUGAGUUCAGAGUGAAUCAACUUCGAUUUUGAAUUUCAUAAGGAACCUGAUAUUUCUGAUUCUAUGUUUAGAUGUUAAUUUGUCAACGGGUAAAAGCUGAAUAUCUAAAGUAUUCAGGACUGUUACAGUCAGUGAUAGCACUGGAGUGAGAAUGAGAUAGAGUUACUAUAGAUUUCAUAUCUGGAUUUCCUUUAUCCCCGAAAAGAAAGAUGUUGUCUGGAAUGUGAUUGAUCGUUUGACAAAAAUUCGUAUAGUCAUUUUGGUAUGUACAGGUUUCUUAUUUGACAGAUCAGCUAAGUUAUAUGUUUCUGGGGUUGUUAGCUCUCAUAGAGUGCCAGUCCCCAUUAUUCGGAUUGAGAUCCAAGGGUUAUAUCGCAAUUAUAGAGAAAACUACAGAAAACUUUAAGUACGUAGUGGCAUUUUGACACUGUAAAUCAUCUUUAGAUCGAUGGUAAGUCUGAGAGAAUACUUCAAAUCUUUGACGAUACGCUCCGACAUUAUAUUAUGAGUUCAAAGAUAAUUGGAAAAAAAAGAUAUAUGAGGUUGAAUUGAUUUGUGAUUUUGGGGAAUAGUGAAAGUGAUUCAUGAAAUUUGAAAGCAACUUCAAACUGGCUUAUGUGGUAUACAGACUCGAAACUUAAGGGUAUUGAAUUUCAGAUUGACGACAGAGUGUUUCCGAAAGAAUCGCCUCGAAGAGGAUUCUUCGAUGAGUUAUAAGAAAUUUCGAGUAAACGAUAUUCAAACCUAAAUUCUAGUAAGAUUUUUGGGGACGAAAAUCCUUAAGGGGGGAGAGUUGUAACAACCCGGUUUUAGUUAAAUCGAAAUAGUGAUUUCAAAACCACAAAUCUGAGGUUGAAAAAUUAUUUUAAUAUUAUUUUUGGUAUUUAAAGCAUGUGAUUAUAUAUGUUUGAAAGUUUCAUAAAGAAAUUUUACUAUUUGAAUGCUUAAUUCGGUAAAAAGGACUAAAUCGCAUAAAGCGUAAAAGUUGUGUUCUAUUAGCUAAAGGUAUUAAAUAGCUAUAGAACUUUAGUGUGGAAGUCCUUAUUUGGUAAUUAGCUCAUUAAAGAGAUAGUGAAAUAUGAUGGUUUGGCAUUUUGUGUAAUGAAUAAUGUUUAUAAAGGUUAAUUAUGUAAAUUGGUUAAAAAUAACAAAACAAAUAAAACAAAAAGGCAAAGUUAUCAUCUUUAACCAUUAUUCAAUUGAAAAUUGAAAGAGAAAGAAGCCAUGGAAGCUUGAACUUCCGGCCAACCCCAUUUUGCUUGCAUGUGAGUAUCGUUUGUCCCGUUUUUGAUAAUUUUUACGUUUUUGAUAUCGUUGCUUUGUGUUCUAGCUAGCCCAUGCCCUGAUUUUUGAAUUGGUGGAUGAAUUUGUGAGUUUCCAUUGAUGAUAGCUUGAUUUUUUUGAAUGUUGAUGAUGAAAAAUGAAUAAUUGUUGAUAGAUUAAUAUGUUUUGUAAAGUGCUUUUUGAGAAAAAUGUCAAAUAGGGAUUAAAUUGUGAAAUAUGCAAAUUGAGUGGUUGAAAUGUGAAAUAAAUGAAAUUUUUGGGCUGCUAGGGGCACUAUAGUAAUUUGGCUAAGCUUGGGUUAUAUUGAAUUUUGUGAAUUUUAUGUAUUUGUGAAAUAGGGACUAAAUUGAAUAAAUGUGAAACUUUAGGGGUUAAAUUGAAAAAAUGUCCAAAUAGGUAUUUUUGGAUGAAAUUGAAUGAAUAGGUGAUUAAAUGAGUUAAAUUUUAAUUUAUAUAGAUCAAGAAAAAAAGAAAUCGAAUUUAGAUCGGGGGAAAUCGAAAGUUGACGAGUAGUUGGUCUGAUCUGUUCGUUUACGUACGAGGUAAGUUCAUAAGUAAAUAAAUGUUUUUGAAUUCAAAUGUAUAUGUUUUAUAUAUUGCCAAGUUGAUUUAUAUGUAGAUACAUACAUUGCCGAAUUGAUUUCUAUAUGUAUAUAUAUAUUACCGAAUUGAUUUGAGAUCCCGUAUAAGACUAUAUCUGGGAUAUGACAUCGGCAUCGAUUUGAGAUCCCGUAUAAGAUCAUAUCUGGGAUAUGGCAUCGAUAUGAGACUUCGUGUAAGACCAUAGCUGGGCUAUUGGCAUCGAUAUGAGAUUUCCAUAUAAGACCAUGUCUGAGACAUGACAUUUGUACGAUGCAUUAUGUACGAGUUUUCCCGAGUAUCCUUAGUAUUCCAAGUGGUUCAACGGGUAAUCCAAAGAUUAUGUCAAAGAAAAGACAAGGUAUGAUCAUGUUGAAAUGAUACAGGUAUGUACGAAAAAUUCAUGAGUAAUGAACUCGAUGUAUAUUGGAAAUUUGGUAAGAAUGUAAAUGAGUAAGUCAUACUGAUGAGAAUGAUCUUGUGCUGACCUUGUGACUAUAGGUCUAUACUUAUGAGGUAUAAAUAUGUGGUAAAUUUGACUGAUGAUUGUGUGAGGCUUUUAGGCCAAAUUAAAUUGAGACAUAAUAUGUUUAAGUCUUUGUUGUUGAUCUAUAGGUGAAAUUGGCCAAUGAAUGGCAUGUAAAUAUAUGAUAAUGAUUAGCUAUUGGAAUGGCUAGUUAUGAAUAUGCUUUGGUGUUAUAUGUGUCUAAAUAAAUGUUAAUACAAAGAAAUCAUGAAAGAGUAAAAUUUGUAAUAAAACAGUUUUGGAUAGCAACAGUUGUAUAAAUUUGAAAAAUCACCAAAAAAUUGUGGAAAUCGCAUUAGAGGUUGAAUAAGACAUGAAAUUAAAGCUUAGUGAGUCUAGUUUCACAUAUAAGAAACGGUGUAAGCAAAAGAAUCUCGUAUUAUGAGAUAUUUGAAUUUUUGUGAGAUAAGGUCAGAAUGAUUUCGGAAUCCCCUGUUCUAACUUUGGAAAAUCAUUAAAAAUUGUAUAAAAAGAAUUAUGGGUUAGAAUUUAUAUUAUUAAAAUUCUUAAUGAGUCUAUUUUCAAGAUAAAUAAACGGGAAUAUCAUCCGAAUCUACUACUAAGAGAUAAUUAAUUUUUAGAGAAGAAGGGUCGGAACUAUCAGACAGCAAAAUAGAGAUAAAUUCGGAGAAUUAACUGUACUUAUUGGCUAAACCAAAAAUUCUAAAAAUUUUAUGGUAAAAAGAUAUGUGAGUCUAGUUUUGAGAAAAUGAAGUGGAUCUUAAUUUUGAUUUCCGUAGUGUAAGAUAUAAAUAAUUUAGUGACUAUGACUCUAGUAGAUUGCUUGAUGUGAACAUGAGUAAAUAGUGGAACUAUGUGCAAUUUUGAUUGUAUUAUCUUGAGAACAUGUUGUGAGGAUUGGUAAAAACAUGUUAACAGAUUGCUUAUUAUUUACACACCAACUUACUAAGCUAUAUAGCUUACCCCAUUUCUUUCUUUUUCCUAUAGUGUCACAUAUACUAGCUCGGGUUGGAGAUCGUCGGAGAUUCUAUCACACUAUCAAGCUAUUGAUCGGUAUCAACGUAUUCAAGCAUUUUAAGUUUAUGGCAUGUAUAGGGAUUCAUUCAUUUUGUGUAUGAGAUAUUAUGUUUUGGUUUGUAGUGGUUAAAGGUUUGAUUUAUGUGUAGCCAUGUAACUUGGCUUAUAUUGGCUAAUUGGUUGUAAGCCUAUAUAUAUAUUAAUUAUAUGCCAAUGUCUUGUGAUGUGAGUUGUGUUUGCAUGAUACAUGAUGAGUUGUGGGUAUGGCCUAAAUUCCUAAUGGUUGUAUGUGCUAGAAGUCUUGAUGUCCAAUGGCUAAGUUUUGCUCAAUGGUAUGGUAUGUUAAUUAGAUAUAAUUAUGCUCGUAUAAGAGUUGUUAAUGAUGCAUAUGUAUAAAUAGUUUUAAAUUUAAUGAAAAUUUUAUGGCCCAAUUUUGUAUGGUUGCUUGUGUCUAAGACCGGUAAUGCCUCGUAUCCUAUCCCAGCAUCAGACACGAGUGAGGGUGUUACAGCCUCGUAGAAAUAAUGGUGACCUCCCGACAGAAUCUCAACAUUCUUAGGGUAAGAACAAUAUUUCUAUGAAAGAGCAUCUUAGAGCCUUCAGAGACGAAUUGAUGCAAAAAGUAAAAAAGGUAAAAAUAGACGAAUCUGUUUGGAAUUACUCCAACGAAUCAUUAGCUCCAAAGAUCCUCGACAACCAUAUUUCAACAUCCUUCAAGUUCCUAAAUUUAGUGUAUAAUGAAUUAAGAGACUCGAAAGAUCAUCUAGCUAGGUACAACAAACGCAUGAACAUAUUGAGGGCAUCCAAUGAAGUAAAAUGCAGAGCCUUCUCUAUGAUCCUGUCUCAAACAACUCAACAAUGAUAUCUGUCAUUACCUAAGGGACUCAUCCAUUCUUUUGGAUAAUUGGUUGAACAAUUUAUGAGUCAUUUUCUAGCCAACAAAAGGUUACAACAGUCCCCUUCUUAUUUUAUGACCAUCCGCCAUGGAGCAAAUGAAUCCCUCCAUGAUUAUGUCAAAAGAUUCAAUGUAGCUAACAUGUCACGAAGGGAGUUAUUGAUGAAUGGAUAAUUCAAGCCUUUAUUGCUGGAACCUUGCAUCAGCACUUAAGGUACAUCAUCAUUAGAACCACCCCAAGCAAACUUUUUAACCUUUAUAAGAUGAUACACAAAUUCUCGAAAGGGGAUGAGGUAGAAAAAGUUCGAGCCGACUCUUCCGCACAGCAUCCCAUCAAAAUAACCCUUCGCGAAUAUCACCUCUCAUGAGAUUUCAAGGCUAUCAACAACCAAUGACCAGUUCGAAGGUAGACAGGCAUGGGUAUGGAUAUUGCAACCAACCUAGCCAGAGAAAUAAUCAGCGGGUGAACAAUGUCCAUACCAUGGAUAAAGACCCAUCCGCAAUCAUAGGGGAGGCCAAGAUCAUCAACCUCAAGCUCCAUACAAUAAGUUCAGAACUUAUCAUAAGCUUAAUUGCUCCCCGACCCAGAUUUUUUAUUAAGUGCAAUAUUGAAAACUUCUAGAGACAACUCCAUACCUCCCACCCAAUCAACAUCGUAGCAACUCCAAUCAUUAUUCUCGAAAGGGGAUGAGGUAGAAAAAGUUCGAGCCGACUCUUCCGCACAGCAUCCCAUCAAAAUAACCCUUCGCGAAUAUCACCUCUCAUGAGAUUUCAAGGCUAUCAACAACCAAUGACCAGUUCGAAGGUAGACAGGCGUGGGUAUGGAUAUUGCAACCAACCUAGCCAAAGAAAUAAUCAGCGGGUGAACAAUGUCCAUACCAUGGAUCACUAAAGACCCAUCCGCAAUCAUAGGGGAGGCCAAGAUCAUCAACCUCAAGCUCCAUACAAUAAGUUCAGAACUUAUCAUAAGCUUAAUUGCUCCCCGACCCAGAUUUUUUAAUAAGUGCAAUAUUGAAAACUUCUAGAGACAACUCCAUACCUCCCACCCAAUCAACAUCGUAGCAACUCCAACCAUUAUUGUAGAUAUCACAACGCUCGAAAGCACCAGAUUAAAUAGUGUGUACAUUUAAAGAAUGCCAUUAAAAUGCAAUCCGAAAGGGGCAUCUCAAGGAAUUUCUAGCUCAAGAACUCCACCAGUCAAAUAAAGCUUAGAACAAAGAAGCAGAACCAUAAAUGCCAUAGCAUGACAAUAGGGGAAAAGUCAAUGAGAGAAAUCAUCGAUGUGCAAUUAAGAGAAAACACACAGAAUGGGUCGUUUUAAAUACGAAGUGAAAGGCUUACAUGAGAAGUGCCCUCUCAACUUCAAAUGCAAUUAAAAAGCCCAAGCCUUCCCCAUUGAACCUUCAUCUUUCAGAGCAGGAUGUGAGAGAUGUUCUAGAUGUAGAAGGAGAAGACCCUUUGGUGGUCUCAGCCAACAUUUCCUCCUUCCAGGUUAGACGGAUCCUGGUUGAUACGGGUAGUUUCGUGGACAUUUUGACUGCCAAAGCUUUCUACCAUAUGGAACUCAAGGAUACAGAGCUCAAGCCUAAAAGCCCAAUUUAUGGCUUUGUAAACCAGCCUAUCGCAGUUAAAGAUCCAUUGUCUUAUUAGUGGUAUUGGGAAAUAGUGAGCACACUACCACAAAAAAUGGUGGAUUUCUAGUGGUUGGCCACCCGACAGCUUACAACACCAUUUUCGGGAGACUGAUCAUAAGGAAAACAAAAAUGGUGGUGCCCACCUUUUACAUGACGAUGAAUUUCCCCACUCCUAAAAGUAACCGGUACAUGAAAGUUGUCCAGAAGACAGCCCGAGAGUGCUAUAUUGUUUCCUUAUGGCCUCUUCGAACAACGUCACAUUUCAGAACCAGGGAAAUUCCUUUCAAUGAUAGUGAACCAACACAAUCAACUUAGCAAAAUAAGAGAAAUGGAAAAGAACGUUUGAUUGAGCAUCCAACUUUGAAAUCUUGUUCAAAAAUAAUUAUAACUUCUAUUAGAAGCAACUUGGCCAAAUAUGUUGAUAGAUGGAAUAUAAUAGUUAAUGAACAAAUGAGACCACAACAUGAACUUAAAAACACUUCUACAAGAAAGUUAAUGCCUUCGAUAAUGAAAUUAGAAUUGGAUAAUGAAUUGGUUUUAAGAUCUAUCAAUAUUCUUAUGCAUGAGAAGAAAGUUUGGUUUUUGCUCCAAUGCCUUCAGAACUUAAUGAAACUGCGUUCGCACGUGCAUAUAAAACAAACAAUUUUAUAAAACAAUUUUAAAGCGAGGUUUUACUGCAAGCGUACUUGUCAGUUAUAAUAUGUGUAGUGUUCCAAUGGAACAUUGGAGUAUUCCAACGAUUGAGCCCAAAUGAGAUGACGAUUGAAUGAUAAAUAGUGUAUACUAUAGAGUCUAAUCGGCUACUUAUAUGAUUUUAUAGUACAACAAUUCAUAACAAGAAAGUUUUUAAAGAAAAUUAAAUAUUAAUUUUGUGCAAACUAAUGUCAAUUUGCAUAUGUUUGAUUUGGUAAUGUGUUUCAACAUCUUGAGUGGUAUUUAAAUGGCAUAUUGUUCAUGAAAUGAAAUGGUAUAAUGCUGACGUUGAAUGGCUUAAAUGCAUGGUAGUAUAGUUGAGUUUGAAUAGGUUGAAUUGACAUGUUUUGAUGCUAAAUUGUGGCAUAUUGGGUUGAAUGAUUUGAAUUGGUUGAAACAUAAUGUCUGGUAUGCGUUUGAUCAAGUUUUAUGCAUGUUUGAUUGUGCAAAAAUGCAUCAAAGGUGCAAAUGGUUAGGUUGACAUGAAAUAGGUGCCAAAUGGCCUAAUUUGUACAAAAAAAUAGAGUCUUUGUCCCGACAACCACAUUUCCUCAUCGUAAUGCUGAUUGGGCAGUAUGUGAUAUCCCAAUGUCGAGUGGCUUAAUGUUGUGACGUGACAAAUUGAUUGGCAAUGUCACGAUGUGGAGAAGGUGAUGUCACGGCGCCGACCUGAAUUUUUAAAACUUUACAAUUUAGUCAUAUUUUGUGCUCGAGUUAAUAAAAAAGCUUUUGUAAGUUCGAUUAAGGCUCGCAUUUAAUUGUAUAUCAUAUUAUGAAUGUGUUUAAGACAUGAAUGUUUGUUUAAAUGAUAAAAUUACAGUAUGUUUGACAAUAGUUGCUCCGAAAACGGAUGUGGAAUCCUGUAGGUCGGACCGGGCGGGUCGGGCAAAGGGUGUUACAUUAGUAGUAUAAAUUGUAAUACAUAGUUACAUAUUUUCUUUUAAAUAUUCAUUACUAUAAAAAUUUAUCAAUAACAUUUGAGAAAAAAUUUUUUAAACAAGUAACAAAAAUUAAAAUCAGUUCGCCAUAUGCAACAUGUAAGCCCGAGAAAGUAGUUGACAAUUGAUCUGUCAUAAUUUGAUAUGACAAAUUAGGUUUUCUCAGUAUACUUAAUGAGCUUAUUCUCGAGCAAAGUAGCGUCUUUUUUUAUUAUAGUUUUUCGUAAUUUUUAAAUUUUAAGUUAAUAAAUGUAAAUGUCUCAUUUUUACUCAUUUUGUGACCCAAUUUGGCCAAUAGUGCCAUUGGGAGGCCUAACGUGUAGUUGAGUGGUGUAGGGACGUGUUAAAGGUUCAAAAUGACACCAAAUGAAAGGGUAUCGUGAUAUCCACCCUUCAAAGAAGACCCCAAGGUUCGAAAUUGGCUGAGGUAUCGCAACGCCAACAUCGUAAGAGGGACAAAAUUGGAGAAAAAUGGUAGUCUUUGUUCACCCAAUCCACCAAUCACCCAAGGCCCGUGUAUGGGCAAUUUUGGCAACGAAAAUUCAUAAGCAUUUACCCUAAAAUAGUCAAUUUUGGCUAAUGAGGAGAAAGACACGCAUCAGUUUAGUUUUAGCCUUAGUUUCUCUAGAUUUUAUCUUAGUUUUUUUUUACAACUUUUAUAGGGUUUUCAUUUUCUCUUCUUCUUUCUUAGUUUUAGAGUUUAUUUUUCUUCAUUUACUUCUUGUUCUUAGUGUUAGUUAAGUUAGUUAUUACUGUAACUUAGGUUUAUUUACACUUUCAGUCUUUGUACUUUAGUUGUAAGACAUUUCUAUCUUUAGUUUAAUGUAUUUCAGUUUCUUUUACUUUAAAUCAACUAAAGUUUGUUCCUUUUAUGUUUAUUGCUUUAGAUUUUCUUGUUGAAUGCCUUUAGUUUCAUGUUCUUUAAGGUUUUUUGCAUAAAAAUCCAAACUUUUAUAUUUAUUUUAAGUUUUACUUUAAUAGCUUCUUUGUUUGUCAUUACCAUGAACCAAAGUCUCAAACCAAACUAACAUUUCUAAGUUAACAAAGCAACACCUAUGUACAUUCCACAUAACUAAGUCUAAAAAUGACCAAAAGAGUACUAAGUCUAUAGCAAGAUAGUGUGAGCUUCUCGUAGAUCCGAUUGACAUGUUCCAUAAGCUGCCAAUCUACAGGAGAGGGGAAAACAAUGGGUAAGCAUAUCGAAUGCUUAGUAAGCUCAAAUGAAAUUUAUUUAACUUACCUUAACAUUACAACAAUUUAAGCAAUUGAAACAUAUUGGUACAAAACAUGGCGUCCUUGGCAAUCUUUUACUUUCAUGCACAAUUCAACAACAUAUACAAUAUGUUAGUUCAUUUGCAUAACAAAACAUGAUACGAAAAACAUAUACAUAUACAAUCAUUUCAUACUAUACCAAAUAUUUUUAAUUUAUGCUCAAUUUGCAACAUAACAUUUCAAUCAUGAUCAAUCAUUACAUUUCCAUUUUAAUUAUUGUUUUCGCUCGGAGAAUGAAAGUAAAUUGAAUUCAGAUACCGGACUUGUAUGCUCAUAAGAGCUGACAUAUUUGAGUUGCUCACAUAAUCAUUAGAUCAGGUUUGAUUAUUACUCACACAAGCUUCAGAGAAUCUACAACACAUGUUGGAUCUCAAAUCAUCAUAUAAGCCAUUGAUCAAACAACAAUUUUCCUUAUUCAUUUGAACCAUUUCCUUUUUCGUUGGGACCCUAAUGGCAUGACAUUUGUAUCCUAAUCAUUUAUUAAGCUCACACGGGCACUGUUACCAAAUUAGUAUCAUUUUACACUCUGUAUUCAUAUAUAAAUUUAUAUAUUCCAUAUACAUUUCGGUAUUCAUAUUCAUCUCAAUACCUUGAAACAAUCCAGAAUAAUCACAAUAUCCAUGUUUUACAAUUCAAUCUAUAUGAUGUCAAAUUCAUCUAAUUCAUAGCAAUUUAAUUCACAAACAAAAUAAAUACAAUUUAACAUAUCAAUUAACUAAAAUAGUAAACUUCAUAUGAACUUACCUGACAAAACAACAAACAAUUGAAUCUUAAGGACUACUCUGCAAUUUUACUUUUUCCCUGAUUAUCUUCAAUUUGAUUCAAUUGUCAAUCUAUAUAAUAAUUCAAUUCAAUUUGUCAAUUCCUAUAAUUUUAUAACAUUAUAUAAUAUGCAUAUAUCAAUUAAAUUUCAUUGUUGAAUACCCCUAAAAUUUUAUAUAUUAUUCAAUUUAGUCCCUAAAAUCGAAAUUGCUAUAACGUUCAAAUUUGAGCUUCGAUUUUGAAAUUGAUCUCAAUUUCAUCCUUCUAUAACCCUUUAUUAUAAAAAAAAUAUGGAAAUAUUAUACCAAUUUCAUAUUUUAUGCACUUUAGUACAUAUAUUCAAAAACUAGCAAUUAAAUUUCACAUACUAGUCUUUUUUCACUUCUAAGCUUAAAACCUAACAAUUUAGUACCAAAAAAUUCAAGAAAUCAACAACGGAAACUUUUAAAAUCUUUAACAGUUUUACAAAUUGGUAUAUGAGCUAGCUAAAUCAAGCUCUUGAAACCUCAAAAACACGAAGAUUACAAGAAAUAAAUUUUCAAUCACUUACCAAAUGAAGAAGAAAGUUUGAAACCCUUCUUUUCCCUUUUUGUUUCGUGAAUAUGGAGAAGAUGAUAAGAAAGGUUUUAUUUUUUUUUCUUUUCAUUUGAUAUAUAUACUUGUAUUAACAUUAACAAAUUAAGAUUAAUUUAAUUAAACUUUAAUCACAGUUAAUAAUAUUGGUUGAUGAAAGUUGUCAUCGUCACCGUUUGGUGAUUUAGGAAAGGUCCAAUUGCUCAAUUGGUCCUUUGGAUAAUUAAAAAUCUAUGAUGAUUAACUUUUAUCAUUUUUACAAUUUAGUCAUUUAACCUUAAUUGACAAAAUUAAGGAAUAAACUUUAAUUAAACUAUAUACUACCAUCGUAAAUAUUAAAUAAUAAUAUUUAUGGGCUCAAACAUCGAAAAUAGGGUUCUGUAAUCACCGUUUUUGAUACCACUAAAAAACGAGUUGUUACAAGCAAACAUGACAUAGUAGAUUACGAUAUAAUUACGUUUUGUCAACCAAAUACUUCUAUGACCUCUUUGGAAACCAUGAUUUGAGUAAAAAAAAUUGGUUUUGGAUUUGAAAAUCCAAAUUCUUUAUUUGGAUAACAAAUAAAAAUUUGAAUUUGAAUUUGAAUUUGAAUUUGGGCAAAUCCAAGUCCAAUUUUAUAUGAGUUAAAUUUAGAUUUCAAAAUCCAAGAUUGUUUAAAAAUAUGAGCACUUUUUUGUUAUUUAUUUUUUCACACUUUCAUCAAAACUCAAACAAUAAGUAAUUAAUUUUACUUAUAAUAUAUAUCAACAAAGCUCAAGGUUUUCAGAAUUGGACCGAUAUAUAAAUUGAUCAGACCAUCGAUUCUUGAUUUGAUCAAUUCAAUCAAUUCGAUUAAAUAAAUUAUUAAAAAUAAAAAAUAUAAAUAAAUAAAACCGAUUCAAUUGUUGGUUUGGCCUAUUGGACUGGUUUAACCUGUUCACAAGUCAACCAAUUUGACCCUUGAUUUGAGAUUGGUGCCCCAGUUGAUUUCUAAUCAAUCGGUCUGACCGAUCGGUCCAAUCCAAGUCUAAACAAUGAUGAAGCUUCAUGCAUUUAAUAUAAUAUAAUAUGAUAUAAAUAUUCACAAAAUUUAUUUAUACCAUAGUUUCCAUAAUUUUAAUUUUAAACCCUUGACUUUUAAUUUAUACCUAAGGAAGUCCACUUAUGCCCAGUGCAAUCUAUCUGACUAGUUGGUCCAGUUUAGUCUUGAAAAUAGUGACAAGCUUCAUGUUUUUAAUUUAAUAAUAUAAAUAUUGAAAAAUUUUAUUUAUACCAUAGUUUCCAAAAUUUUAAUUUAUAAACCCUUGACUUUUAAUUUAUACCUAAGUAAGUCCGCUUAUUUAAGUACAAACUAAAUUAUAUGAUUCUAUUUAGGUGUAAACAAAGUAUAAAUGACUUUCUAUAAAUAAUAUGAAAAUGUUGAGAAUUCUUUUUUAAUAUUUUAACCCAAAACAAUAUAAAAAUAUAAAGUUACAUUUUAUUGGCUGAUCGGUUUGAUUGAUACGAUUGGUUCGAUCGAUCCGUUUGGUUCUAUUAAAUGAACCAUUAAAGACUUCAUAAAAAAAUGGUUCAAUCAUCCAAUCAACCCAUUUGUACCAGUUCCCAAGUCAACCAAUCUAAUGCCUUUCUCGAGACGAUUCCUAGUUCGAUUGCUGGUCUAGUCUGGUUCAAACAACAAUGUUAAAAAUUCUUAUAAAUAAUAAAAUUUUAAAAAAAAUGUUUUUAAGGAUUAAAAUUUGUUGAAAUUCAAAUCUAAAUUUGAAAUUAUCCCAACAAUGAAUUUGGAUUAAUUCAAAAUCCUAAUUUUCAACCAUUUUAAUUCCCAAAGAAAGAUUUUAGAAACAAUGAAUUCAUAAAUCAUAAAUUUUAAAACUAAAAUUUUGAAAUCCAAAUCCAAAUUCCAGUUCUUAAACGCUACCCUAGGGAAUUACAAUUCCUUGUAAUUACAAGGGAGUGUAAUUACUACUGUGGGUGUAAUCGAGUCGAGCCUAGAUACUGCAAAGCUUGAGCUUAGCAUGAAAUUUGGAGCUUCAUACUCGACUCAAGCUCAACCAAAUAUCUAUUUUUAAGCUCGAGCUCGACUCGAGAUAUAAUUGAGCUACUCAAGUUCAGCUCGAGAUAGAACCAAUCUACUCUAGCUCAAUUAAGCCCAUUCACCAAAUUUUGUAUUCAAUCUCGAGCUACUCAAUAAUUAAGCUUAGGGUUAAUAAUACAUAUUAAUGGCAAUAACGUAAUUUAAUAAUAUAAAAAAUGAAAAGUUUGACAAAACUCCUGAACCAUUCGAGUCAAGUAUUACUAAACUUAAAUUUAGCUUGAUCCAUAGCUCAGGCUUGAGCUCAGCUCGAUAAUUAUUGAAUUAAGUUUGAAUUUUUUCGAGUCAAACUCGAGUAGCUUGUUAGCACCAAUGUCUCAUUUACACUCCUAACUAUUACCCUAAGAAUUACAUUUUCAUCCAAUUACUAUGUGGUGUCCAAACACACCAUAAAUAAAAUUUGACAUAUAAAAUGUGAAAUCACUUUCCAAUUGAUUAAAUUCCGGGGUAAGUGAUCACUACACUACCUUAAAGGACCGUUUGGUGUUUUCCUAUCUAAUAAUUCCAAUGUCAUGUAAUUGAUGAGAAUAUUAUUUUGCAAUAUUUGGUACACAUUAAAAGUAAUUAAAAUCUCGAGAAAGCUAAAUUAACAUGCUUAAUGCACUCAGCACUUUUAUGAGAACAUAAUGUUAAUUUACAAAUUUACCAUUAUUAAAUAAAAAAUAUUAUUAUGAAUGUCUGCAAUAUUUUAAAUUUUCCUCGUUAUUUCAGGUGUAUUCAUAUAUUGCAUAUAUACUUUGAAGUCAUAUUAAGGGGAGUGAUUCACUUACAUUUGUGUAAAAUUAAAGUAGUUUAACAUUUUUUCUUACAUUUUCAUAUGACUAAUAUUUUAAUGAUCUAAAUUCUAAUUAUCAAAUUUUAUAUUUUAUUCAUAUAAAUCAUUUAUGUUAAAUUUGAUGUAAGUUAAAAAUUUUCAACUAUUUCUUUUAUGUAAAAAACUUUCAAUCGUUCAAUAAAUAUUAAUAUAUAAAAUAUUUUAGAUCGGUAUGAUAAAAAUAUAGAAUUGAUUCAAAAAUUUUAAUAUAUAACAAAUACAAUUAUAUUGAAAUAUUAAUAAUGUAAAUAUAUAAAAAGGUGUAAAACUACUUUAGUUCUACAUGUAAGUGGUUCCCUUCCGUUAUUUUAAUACUAAAAUUCAAUAAUAAUGAAAAAAUACAUUUUAAAAAGAUUUAUAACAAAAAAAUAUAGAUAUUUACUUACUUUGAAACAAUGAAUUGAAGCCAUAAAGACCAAAGAGGACGAGAACAUGAAAUUGUGUUCUUUUAUUAUUAUUAUUAUUAUUAUUAUUAUGAUUAAUAAGUUAAUACUCUAAACACAAAUAAAAGAAAGACUAGUUUUGUCUUAGCAAUUAUUUAUUAUUUUUCAUCUACAUGAUAAAGUAAUUUUCCCUCUAAUUAUUAUGGGAAUCACUUUCCAUUAUGCCAAUGUUUGGUACUUUCCCAUUAUGCAUAAGUUAUGGAUUUAAUUAUCCUACUUUAAUUCGGUUAUUUUUAAUUUAUGCACUUUUCAAAUUUUAAAAUCUUAGUCCUCAUUAAGUAGUACCUAUUAAAUUCAUUAAGUUCUACUAUUUUUAAAAUUUGACACAUCAAACUUAUUAUCGCAUUUAUAAUGCCAUGUUAAGUUAUUAUUUCAACAUAUAACUAAAAAAAAUUAGUUAAUGGAUUUAACAACUAUAGCUUGCAUUAAAACUAAAAUUUCAAAAUUCAAGAAAUAUUACUACUAAAUGAUCCAUUUGGAGAACAUAAAUUGAACCUUCAAUUUUACGCUUACUGCAAGACUAAUAGCAAAAUUUAAUCAAACAAGUUUAACUACUGUCAUUUGGUUAGGAAUAAAAUUUUAAAAUUGGAAAAGUGAAGGGACCAAAAUUAACCAAUUUGAAAAGUACAAAGACUAAAAUUGAGCAAAUUAUGGUGACUAAGUCCACAACUUAUGCAGAGUACAGGGACUAAUAGCAAAAUUUGACCUUAUUCUUUCUUACUGUACUUAUCCUACACCCCGCCCGUGUACUUUAGCAAUCCCCCACCGCUCCAUUUUCAAUUAUCUUUUUGCCUUGCGCAUAUUCUCUUCAGUGAUUAUCUUUCUAUUUCGAAACCAAAAAAAAGAAAAAAAAAAGUAAAAAACUCUAUCAAACCCCAAAAAAUUAGGGUUUUUCUUCUUUUAACAGAGUAAGAGACUUGAGUUGCUCACUCACUUUUGAAUCGAGGUGGGCGUUUCAAACGCCUUCAUAAUUUGUGCAAAAUUGCUGCUCCGGAACGUUAGAGAGUGCCAAAGUAUUAUGCCUUUAGGGCGAUUUUUCCGUGCUUUUGAGUUUGGGAUAAUUGUUUAAUAUAUACUCUGAUGGCGCCCAGCCGAAGGAAAGGCGCCAGUAAGGCGGCUGCUGCGGCUGCCGCUCGCCGCCAAUGGAAAGUCGGCGAUCUUGUCCUCGCAAAAGUCAAAGGUUUCCCUGCUUGGCCUGCUACGGUAUGCGAAGACUUGUAUCACUAUCUUCUAUUUUCUCCUGUUUUAAAUCUCUGUUAUGCUGGAAAUAUGUUAUUGCCUUAGGUUUGUGGUUGCAUGUGAGUUUUAAUGUUCUUUUCUUUUGAUGAUUAAGUGGCAUGAUCAAUUCUUCUAUUUAGUGUAUGUUUAUGUGUUAAUAGUGCAUUAGUCAGGAGGAAUUCUUUGGCGGGUUUCUUUUUUGUUUUACUGAUUAAUAUUUAACUAUGUUCUGAAAUUGAUUUUCGCGAAUCCAAAGGGGAUUGAAGUGUUUGUUAAUUACACACUUGAAUGCCUAUCUUAGAAAUUUAAAUUAGAAAUCUUUUCGCUAGUUUUAUUUGUAAAAUAGAUUUUAGGGAAAAUGAAUCCUUGGUAUCUCAGUUCUGCUAGAAAUUGCUUAGGGAGGCGACAGACUUAUCUUUUGUCCUGUAAGAUUUAUUAUUAUUAUUAUUAUUUUUCAUAUCUAACUUCUUUACUUUUGAUUUCUCAGUACUAUUUUUUUCAUAUCUAAAUUAGAAAUGUUAGAAAUUACUUUUGAUUCAUAUCUAGCUUUUAUUUGGAAAAAAAGGGACAAAAUUGAUUAAAACAAAAAAAACCAAGGGAAAUUGGUCCAAAAUUAAGCUUACGCUUGUAACCUCAGGAAUGAGUGGAGAUUACAUCCUGAAUUUGGGCAUCUUGAUAUUAUUUGUGAAUGUGAGAUUACGGGGUGGCUGGAAUAUUGAAAAUCAAAACAGCGUAAUCUUAUUUCAGAAUGUGAGAUUACAGGGUGUAAUGUAGCAUUUGGGGAACCGAACGCACCUUUAGGCUUAUGUUUUUGAUUGCUUGUGGCAGGUAAGUGAGCCUGAGAAGUGGGGUUAUUCAUCUAAAUGGAAGAAAGUUAUGGUUUACUUUUUUGGAACGCAGCAAAUGUAAGUGUGCAUUCGAAUUUUUUAUUUUGUGCAAUUUAUCCUUUUGAUUUGUUUUUCCUACCUCUAUUUUGCCCCAUUUUGUUAUUCUAUGAAACUUGUUUUUAAGUCAUGACAAGUUGAAACUUUACUUUCUCAGUUUUUGGUUUUUCUUGUUGACAUGAAUGUAAUAUUGUAAAAUUGUUUUAUGGGCUUGUGUUAUUUGAGUACUCCCCAGCAAAUAUGAUUUAGAUUGGAUCUGUACUUGUUGCAUAUUGUCUAGAUUUAUUGAUCUAUAUGUUUUUAUCAUCACAAAGGUGAGAUAAUUUGGGUUUAGGACGCCCUUGAAGUGUAGAAGCAUUUGGCAUUCUAUUUCUAGAUGAUUUAUUGAACUAUAUUGACAACUAGAGGUGUUCAUGUGCCAGGAUUGAGUUUAUAUUUUUCAACCUUGGGCUGGUCUGGCCUGACCCAUUUUAUUGUAUAGAAAUAAUAAAAAAUAUAAAAAGCCAGUCUGAUUAAAUUUCUCUUUAAUUUUUUUUCUAUUUUUCUCUGUUUUCAUUUGAAAUACCGUUACUAGUAAGAAAGAUAAUCUUAAACUCUAUACUUCUCAAUAUUUGAGCAUUCGACUACAAACACUGACUGUAAGGAAAUCAUGCAUAUUGACCAAUCACAGAAAUUGCAUGUUUUGUAGAUAAACUGGACCACAUUUUAGAGUUUACUAUAUAUCUUAAGCUUUAUAAUUUAUACACAGACUUGCAAAAUCUCACACAUAUAUGUAUUGCACUUAACUUCACUGAGGCUAGCACUUUUUCUGCGCUUUGUGCCUGAGGCAAUAUAACGGUUCUAGAGUCUAGAAUGCUCCUUGCGUCUUGGACAACACUCCAAUUGUCAUAAUUACGAUUGUUGGUGAAACAGUUCCGCACUCCCACUAUUUAGCUAUUAUUGUUUAGAUUAUCUUUUCAACUAUAGUGUAUUAUCACCGUUAUUAUUUUAAUUUCCUUUUCUUCAGUAUAUUUAUAUGAUGAAGAAUCCAUUGUUUAGUAAUAUUUUUUCCCCAGAAAGCUAACCACCUAACCCAUAUCACUGGUGGCGAUGUUUUAUUGUCACCAAGGAAAGGCUACCCAUAUGGAGAUGAAUGAAUUAAUUUCCUCUCUUCGUUGCCCAUAUUUUGAAUCAUAUGCAUCUUUAAAUUGAAUGUUUAUGAUCUAGUAAUGUGUGCUUAUUUAUGCCGCCAGAUAUGGGUUCUUGAAUGCAAAAUUAGAACAUUUUAAAUGGGACUCUUUUUGUGCAUUAAUUUGUAGUUUAGGACAGGAAGAUGUCUAGACUUGUUGUUGAUGGCGCACUUUAAAAGAUUUGCAGUUAUGGGAGCUUAAAUAUUCUUCACAUCUCAUGCUUUGUUUUCUUUUCAUCAUAAAGAAGUCCUUACCGGAAGCUCUUCAUUACCCCAAAAAACAGAAUUUUUUUAAUGAUAUUUGUUAAAUCAUUAAGUCUAUAAACCUGGUAGGGAUUAAUUUGUCUUGUGGUUUUGACUGGGUUGGUGCAUGUUAAUUUUUUUUAUGCACUAUAUAUUUUGAGAAUUUGAACUAUCCUCUCCUCUUAUGUUGUUGGCUAUUUUAAUAUUUUAUUGUUUCUGCAUAUUUAAUUCUCAUAUAAAUUAUUAUGUUAAGGUUGUGAUCUAAGCAGAUAUUAUAGUGUCUAGAAGGUGUGGAAUUUGGCAUUGCAGUUUUUCACCAUUUCUUUGCUUGCAAAACAAUUUAUUCAUUAGUACUGAUAAUUUAAGGCAGUCCAUGGCAUUACAAAUUAAGGCCUUGUUUGUUGAGUGGAUAGAAAAAUGGGAGAGAAAUGUGAAGAGAAACAAGAUACUUUCCAUAGCAUGCUAGCAAAGAUGGAAAAGUGAAAAGAAAAAUGUAAUUUCUUCCUAGCCAUUGUUAGGUAGAGUUAAAAAAAAUGAGAAAUGUUGUUCACCCUUUUUUUAAUUUAAAAAGAUAUAUUGAAAUAAUAAUGAGUAAUCUUGUAAAUGUGUACACCUGACUGGCUGACUAGCAUUUCUAUGAUUUUUCUCUUAUUUUUUGGAUUCGGAAUGAUUUGUUUUUAUGCAUCAAGCUGAAUUCCUAUUUUAUUUCCUUUCACUUCUCUCUCCUACGAAGUAUAUUCAAAAUUUAUUUCUUUCCAUUCUUCUACCCACCUCUAUCGACCCUUCCAUUUUUUUCACUGUACUAAGUAGACGCCAAAGUACAUGAAAGCAUGGCGAGGAUAUGGCAGCUAAUUGUGAUAUAAGAAACUUAGAAACAUUUCUGGAUAGAUCAUUAGCUUGGAAGCAUGGCAUUGAUAUAACAUAAAGAAAACAAAGCUCAAUAGUAGGAUGAUUGUAUGGUGGAAUUUGGUCUACUAAGUGGUGAUUUGUUUGUAUUAUUCCAAAGAUAAAUUUGUGUAAGAAACUAAUCAAACUGGAAACUUGAAUUUGUCAAAUGUUGAAUCUUGAUGAGGUGAAUAAAAAAGGUCAUCUCUCUUAGGGGUCGUUUGGAUCAUGAAAUGUAUGAUUACCAGUGGUCAUCUUGUAUUUUGUAAUCAUAUUUCAACAACAUUACCUUGAGCUGGUAAUAUUAUUACCAACAGUGCCAAGAUUCAAUAAUAUAAGGGGUAAUCUUAAUACCAAUCUUAUAUUACUUUGAUGACGUAAGAUUUUUGACAAAUUUACCCUCAUUCUUAAUGACUUUGAUCCAUUUUUAUUAAAACCAAGACAAAUAAAUAAUAAGUACUAAUGAAUUAAACUCUCCAGUUUUUUUCCAUAUAUAUUCCCUCAAUUAGCAUUUAACAAUAUUAAUUAAUUAAUUUAUUAUAAGUGAGUUUGUCUAUUGUUAUUAGUUGAGGAAACUUAACAUUUGUUUAUUAUAUUACAUUUUAUCGAUUAAAUUACCUUAAUUUUUAAUUAAUUAACAGUAUGACUAGUGAGUUUUUUCCAUAAUACAGUGUUGUUGCUUCUUGAAAACCUCAUUAUCAAGAGGUGCUCCCAAACAGCUAUCGAAUAAAUCUCUUUAAAUCAUCCCAAGAAUGGAAAAGCAACUUCCUCACUGUCCACUGUUGCUUCAACUGUUUCCUUUGCUUUCUCUUGCAUUAAUCAGUUACCUCAUUCCGUUGGCGGCUUCUUUUAUUCAUGCAAUGGAUGCAAUUUCAAAUUUCUGUUUUAUAUUAUGUUGUGUUAUGUUGGUUGGGUAAACCUUUCACUUGUUGGUAUUCUUUUAAGUAAUGUCAAAUACUGUUCACUGGAGCAUUGCUGCAUCUAGACAUAAAGUUGAAACUCCUUAUUGUAAUGUUCAAUUAUUGAUUCAUGGAUUGGGUUGUUGAAAGCUGUUGUACAUUCAUUGGAUGAUAUUAAAAUUGAGUCUUAUUAAGGCCUUGGUAUCCUUGCGGUGACAUGAGCAAUCUUUUUCAGAUUGUAGAUUAGAUAUUUUCUUUGUUGUUAACUUAUGCCUGCUCUAUACUUUAUUUGGAUUGUCUUUUAUCCUUCCACUUUUAUCUUAUAGUAGUUAACCUGAUAAUAGGUUUACAGUUCUCAUUCAGAGAACUGAUAGAUGAUUUUCAAGGUGUAGAGAGUUAUGUGCUGAAAUGGACUUUUUGGAGACUCACAAGUAAAGGCAUGAUGCAUGCUUAGUUGGAUGCUAUCAUUGUAAUUUAUCUUUCCUGUAUGUGGUUGUGACAUUUCUUCCCGUGACCUUUUUGUACAUAAUAGAGACAUGUUAGGAAAGCUGGAAACAUUCCUGGUAUUUUUUUUUUAGAUUUUGGAAAAUCUCAAUAGUUAUUUGAUGAUGCUGAUAUAUAGGAAGAUUUAGUCUUCAAAUUCAGAAUCUCUGAAGGCCAGCAAAGAUUUAAGGAGUUAUUUGAUAACUUGGGUCUUGAAGUUCAUUGGUAUAUCAAUCAGCUGUGCUGUAAUUUUCUUCGAACUAAUGAUAUUUCAUCAGUGUAAUUCUUGAUGUGGAUGUUCUGUAUAACCUGUUAAAUAAAUGAAAAUGGUCAGGGGAAGGAGACCAAUGCUUCCUUUUAAUGUGUAGCAGCACCUGUAUGUAUGAUGAGAAUGUUGUCCUAAUUUCUUAUCUAGAUAACUGUGUGUGGGCUGCCCUUGCGAUUAGAUUCAUGGAAUUAUAGUAGAACCUAUAAUUUUAAUAGGAAGUUCUGAUAGUUACGAUAUAAAAUUACUGUAAACAUCUUUUACAUUUUUUUUUUAUGUGGAUGAUUGUCUGUUGGUGGUUGUAACUACGUCUGUUCUUUUCCUCUCCAAACAUAAUUCAACUUAGCUUAUUUUGCAUUCUGUUAGUUCACUUAUGGGUAUCUUUCAUGCAGAGCAUUCUGUAAUCCUGCUGACGUUGAAGCAUUUACAGAAGAGAAGAAACAAUCUCUUUUGACCAAACGUCAGGGAAAGGGUGCAGAUUUUGUUCGCGCAGUCCAGGAAAUUAUUGACAGUUAUGAGAACUCAAAGAAGCAGGAUCAAGUUGAUAACUAUAAUUCUGCUGAUGGAGUUACUCAGGCAAAUUGUGGGAACUCAGGGGACUCAUCUGUGUCAAAGGAUCUGACUGACACUUGCGAGGCAACUGAGAUUGCUCAAGCUGAUGCAAGAAUAGAUGCUCUGCAUGAAAAAGAAUCCGUCUCAGAACAACCUUCAGAUACAUUUCUGGUUAAAGAAGAACCUGUUUUGACCACAUACUCUUCAAGAAAAAGAUCUGGAAGUGUACGAUCUCAAAAAUCUAUUGGACAGCAGAAGGCAUCACCAGUUCGAAGAGGUAGAAGCUCAACAAGGGUGGAAUCCUCUAGAUUUCAGAACUUUAUGAUGUCGUCUAAUGAUGUUAGGAGUGUCUCUGAUGUAUCAACAAAUGUGAUCCAGAAUGGGUCCCAAAGGAAGAAUAAACAAGUCAAGAAGUCUACAGAUGCAUCUGAGAGUGAUGAUGUGGACUUAUCUGUGUUAAUGCUGAAUGGUAGAAUUGAUGACAAUGGGUCUGACAUUGCUACUGUUGAUUCUGAUGCUGGUAGUUUCAAUGAGGGUAGCUCUAUGGAUUGUAGUUGUAAGCCUGAAGACUCUGAGACUGUUGUUGAGUGUUUGGAGGGAGAUCCUGAGUUGAGCAAAGGGCUUGAUUUCCAAAUAAAGGCUGUUGUCAUUAAGAGAAAAAGGAAAUCAUUUAGAAAGAGGGUGAACAUUGAUUCUGCUGAGCCUCUUGCAGAAGCAGAUCUGGAUUUAGGAAUCAGUAAUACUAGACAAAAUUUGCAGAAUACUUGUGAAAAUAUAAAUGACAGAUAUUCCAAAGAUGAUGGAGAUGAGCACCUACCCUUGUCGAAAAGAGCAAGGGUUCGCUUGGGUAAACUGUUAGCUGCUGAUGAGAUCGUUAAUUCUUCACCAAUGGAAGAAAAGCCUAUUAAUGAAGGCACUGUCAAUUUAUUGCAGCAGAUGAGUCCAUCAAGCAGUCACAAUGAUUCUGCUACUGAGAGAGACUCUUUGUUGUUGAAGGGUGCUUUGGUUAAUGUAUCACCUUCAAAGGGUGACACUGAAAUUCGAGGGAGUGGGCCGGAAUCUUCGAAAGUUUUGAGAAAUCAGUUGGGGUGUUUGGCAGGUGGUGAAGCUGCCUUGCCUCCAUCCAAACGCCUCCAUCGUGCUUUGGAAGCUAUGUCAGCUAAUGCUGCUGAUGAAAAUCAGGCAAUUGCUGAACUUUCUACAACCAUGAAAAUAUUAGAUGGUGAAAGUCAUGAUUCUCUAAUGAGUUCUCAUGUAACUGUUGAGGACAAAGAAGCUAGUGUGUUGGAGCAACACAGCAGGGAUUUGAUUGCUCAUAGUGAUUCUGGCAUCUUUUUCGUUUCAAAUUCAAUACCUUCAGAUAAGUUUGUCAAAUCUUCUGUGGAACCACUUGUUUGCUGUCAAUCUGUGAAGAGUCCUAAGAAUCAAAAGCAUGAAUUACACGAGGAUGUCUUUGUGGAGCCUAUGAACCAUGUUAGUUGUAAUACUCAUAAGAGCGAAUGUUUAGAACAUUCAUCCCCUAAUCCUGAGGAAUGCCAAGCUAGUUUCAGAUCUAACUGUGGUUCUUUAUAUGAGAAGUUCCCUUCAAAUGAUGAUUUGGAUGCUGAACCUGCUGGCUUGAGCAAUUCCAGGGUUGAAAAUCUUGAUGAACGGUUUAAUACUUCAGAACAUGCUGAGAUGAGUUUUGAUCCUGUUACAGUGACUGGGAAAACUUGUAAAGUUUCACCUCAGGAUGACUCCAAAAGUGAGCCACUGAAGUCCCAAAUUAAUGACAGCAGCUUAGUCAACAGCAUGUAAGCAUAUUUACCUUGCUUUAUCACAGUUAUUAUGUGAACUAUAUUGAGAAAGUAAAAUAAUAGAGAAUUUUUUGUUCUGAAAGUAUGCCAUGAAAUUUCACAUUAACAGCCUAAUUUGAUCCUACAAUCAUGAGAGUGUUCUGCUAUUAGUUUGCAGAAUUUGGAGUUUGACAACAGCUUAUUCUAAGCAAAAUAAAUAAUCCUGAUGCUAAUAUUAAUGUAAAUCUGGUAAGAAUUUAGUUCACUAAGGUGUUUAGCUUUAUUUUCUCAGUUUUCUUUUUGUUUUUUCUGCGUGUGUCUUUAGCGCUUAUCUGCUAUUGAUUUGCUGAAUUUUCUCUUAUUUAUGUAGGUGUGAGGUUGAGGAAGAGUUUCAACCAGAAUUGAGGCAGAAGACAACUUCUAGUUUUAAUCAUGAUGACAACUCAGACAAGGAUGUUGCAGUUGUCCAGUUAAGUCCAUGUUCAGCUGAUGGAGUAGAUUCUCCGGCUAGGGUCUCUCCAAAUGCCUCUCUUUGUCAUGUUUCUACCUCGGAGAGUGCUAGUAUUGCUCCAAGCAAUGGAUAUUGUAGUCCAAAUGUUCACAUGUGUCCUAACAAAGCUUUAUGUGUUCCAAACGUUGAUGAUGAAGGUAAAGCUGAUUCUGUGACCUUUGAAAGACCAAAAUCUGUCAGUAAAUGCAGUAAAUACACUGAAGCACAAGCUGUUCUGUUGUCUUUUGAAAAUAUGCUUGUGAUCUUAACGAGGACAAAGGAGAGCAUUGCUCGUGCAACGCG
rnacentral:lncRNA from 1 species